AGACGUGUUUUUGGUGUCUUCUUUAUCCCAUGUGUCUAACAAUUCGGUCUGUUAGUAUUAAUAAAUUUUGGAAUACAAACCAUUAACCUAUAAUAUUUUGAGAGAUAGAUAGCAUGCUACCCGCUUCAUUUAUUUCAUUUAGAAAUUAGUUUAGCUAGAAAUGUGAAUCAACUAGGAUUCGAUCUUGGGUCUCGGAUACUAACCACCAAGCUCUUUGCCACUUGCUCUAGGGACGGUCGGUUAACCUACAAUAUUUUAGUUAUAAUUUUUAGGGCUUGUUUGGUUCAAGAAUGGAAUUUAAAUAGAUAAUGGAAUGGGAAUGAAUUGGAAUGGUAAUUGGAAUUGCCCACUCUCCCAAGGCGUUUGGUUUAUUUGUGGAUUGAGAAUUAAAAUGAGUUAUUCACAUUUCAUUGUUUGGUUCGUAUAAGCUAAAAAAAUUAUAGGAUACUAUAAUACUAAUUUUACUCUCAAAUAUAAAUUUAUAUUAUUUAAAAUUUAUGAAAAAUAUAAUACUAUUCUCUAAUAAGUUUUCAAAAAAAAAUAUCAAAUUUAUUUUUUAAAACUUUUAUUGAUGUGGGUUAGGGAUAGGGUUUUGAGAGAUGAUAGGUUUUUUUUUUUUGAUGAGAAAGGGGUGAAGAGAAGGAGGGUGAGAUGGUCACAUGGGCUUCGAGAAUUUAGUGGGCUUCCGGAAUGAAAUUUCAAUCCGGACUAGAAGACUGGAAUCAAGUUGAAGGCUAAUGGGCCAUUCCCAUUCCAGUCCGGAAUAGGAAUUCCAAACCGAUUCAUGCGAACCAAACAAAAUUAACCGGAUUUGAUCAAACCGAUUCUCAUUCCAUACUCAAAAUGGAUGAAACAAACAAACUCUUAGCCACCGUUUGGUUCGAGAUUAAGUAAAAACUUGUUAUUUCAUGGAUAGGGUUAAGUUCAGGGUUAAGGUAGGGUUAGAGUAAUUUUGUGUUUGGUUGAGAAUUGGGUUUAGUACAGGUAUAGAUAAAAUAGUGUUUGGUUGGAGUAGAUGGGAUAAGAAUGAUAGUGAAUAAAAUAGUAUUUUGUUUAGUUGGAGUAGUGGGGUGGGGUAGGGUUAGCUAACCCCAUCCCUAAUGGAAUAUUUCAGAAUAGCCCAUUUGAAGUAGGGUUAGCUAACCCCACCCUCCAAAUUAGGUGUUUGGGAAUAACUUUGGAGUUAAGGAGUUAUUCCACCCCUUAAUCCCAAACCAAACGGGUGCUUAGAGUAUUUAGUUCUUUUAUAUAUAUAUAUAUAUAUAUAUAUAUAUAUAUAGAGUUCGGCUACUAUACUAUCGAUAGUACCAAGCCCUUAGUAUUAUUGAGUUUUUUACCGUUAGAUCUACCCUUUGAUCAUUUCCACCCGUUAGAUUAUACUAUUAAACCAACCACNACCCACUCAACCCUAGAGGACUCACAUCAUCCUAACCGCACAUCUCUUAAUCCAAUGACCAAAAACUUGGUAGCAUCAAUGACUUAGUGGUAUUAAUAGUAUAUUAGCCUAGUUCUAUAUAUAUAUAUAUAUAUAUAUAUAUAAUAUGAUUUUUUUUAUUUAAUAUAUAAAACUUUAAAUUUAGAACUUGCAUAGAAUAUAUGACUUCUAGACACCGAAAUAUAAUUUCUACUGAGAUAGCAAAAUAAAGUUUAUUUGGUCUAGCCGUGCAUUGGGCUAAUCUGCCAUACAACAUUGCAAUAGCAGAAAGCAUUAAUGCAUAUAGUAUUGCAUGAGAAAAAAAAAAAAAAAAAGACCGUAAGAAAGUGCAUCCCAUGAAAAAAUAUUCUAUUUAUUUUCUUAAAAUAUAUCAUAUGUAUUAUAUAAAUUGUAAUAAUUCAGUUAAAAUAUAAUUUCACCCGUCAUCCAAAAAAAAAAAAUAUAUAUAUCUCUAUAUACUUGUUUUUUUUUUAAUUUAUUUUGACCUAACUCGCAAAUAGUUUAGGUUGUUGUUUCUCGCCGCCAUCACUUUCCACAGAGAAAAUUAGAGAAAAUUAUGGUGGAAAGCCGCCACCAAGACCUCCUAUUCAAGCCAACUAAUCAGUUUUUAAUUUGAUUUUUUCACUAUAAUUCCCGCAUUCUUUUUUUUUUUUUUCGCAUUCAGUUUCUUAACUUUAAAUAACUCUGUAAUGAAAAGUUUCGCCAACUCUAUCAAAAACUGUUACGUCAGUAUCAAAUAAUUUUUGUAGCAUUUUUCGGUUAAACUUGUUAUUUCAAAAUAAUUUUGUGUGUAUAAUCUGGUCCUAUGAUCACUAGUUCUUUAAGAUUAGUUGUUGCUUAGCGGAUUUUCUUUUGGCACCGUAAUUUGAAUUUAAAUUUUAUAUAGUGUGAAAUAUAUGACCUACAGUCAUCUUUAUUAAAAAAGAAAUUUUUUUAAAUAAAUCUCACCGAUCACGGACGAUGAAAUUGCAGCCGUCGAAAUGGCUCUUUUGCCUGAUGCCACAUAACCGAAACAACCGCUUAAUUGCUCUACGAGUAAUCGUGCACGCUCUUCUCUCCACCAAAAAUGACACCUAAAAUUAAAAAUUAAAAAAUUAAAAACUAAAACAAAAAGAAAAUGUCCACGUAAGAACGGGCCCCACGAGAGGCACCAAUAAUUGCACUCCACCCACGCAUACACUUACUUAAAAAGUCUAGAGAGUUUUAAUUGUGUAGUUUUUUUUUUUUUUUUUAAUAUUUUGGAAGAUAGGUAGCACGCUGUUCAUUUCGUUUAUUUCACUUAAAAAUAAACUUAGCUAGAAAUAUGAUUCAAUUAAGAUUCGAAUUUGAGUCUCGGAUAUCAAUCACUAAGCAUUUUGCCACUUACUCUGGAGACGAUCGUUAGUUUUAAUUGCGUAGUUAAUAAUAAUAUUUGUGUGUAGUUAAUAUUUUGCCCAAUUCCGUGUGGGGAUAAGACAACGCCGAGAUCGGUAACGUCUCCCUCCAUCGCUCCUCUCUCAUUGGUCCCCUCGGAUUUUUCGCAAAUCAGUCCCUACACUGGGUGCACCACAUCGACCAUACACUCACAAAUUCAUAGUUAUAUUUUAUAUACUAAAGUUUUUAUAUAUAUAUAUAUAUAUAUAUAUAUAAAAUAAUCCUCUUAUACUUUAGCCUCUGUCUUAAGUACAAUCCAUGAUAAAAAUUAUACCAAUUACAUUUUUAUAUAUUUUUUCAAUGUUUUAAGUAAGUCAAAGUAUCUGAAAUAAUUGUUAAAUUUAGCUAUAAAACUUUAUAAAAAUAAGUUUACAGAUAAGGUAACUCAUAAAUAAUAAAAUUACUUUAUAAACUGUCAAUUUUGAUAAUAGUAGUAAAAUUGGAGACAUCCUUUAUCUAAUUUUUUUUUUCUAUUUUUUAAAUUGCGAAUUAAAUUAAUAUUGAUAGGCAAAUUAGUAUGAUGUGAUGACUCAUUUUUAGUAAAGUUUUGCAAUAUAAUUUAUUAUUUAAAAAUUUUUUGAAACUUUUUGAAAUAUGGCAAAGUACAGAGUGAUAAUUGAGAUAGGGGUGGCGUUUUUUUUUUUUUUUUUUUUAGUUCUCAUCACCGUUUCCUUAGUUUUUUGUUUUAUUAAUUUGAAAAUAAUAUUUAUGAAUAAUUUGAUUAAAACUAUGAAGUAGAUUUGACAUUCCUUUUUAACAUGCCUAAGGGGUGAACUCAAAUAAAAAAGGAGCAAAUAAAGUGUAAUUAAAAGUCCGAGGAGAUAAUUGAUUAUUUUAAAAAAGCUUUAAUUGUUUCUAUUUCUUUGUAGUGAUAACUUUUGAACAUUAACUUAUAAUGAGACUGUCUGAUUAGAUAUAAUUAUAAAUAAUAUAAUAUAGUUGGACUUGUAUAUAGUUAGAAAUUCAGCAGUUGUAACUAUAUGCAUUCUGUUUAGUUGGAUGUAAUGGAAAGCGCAACAACUAUAAAUAAAUUUAUUUGGUUACAUGCAGCUGAGAAAUGAUAUUUAAAAUUUUAUCAUUUUGUAUUAUAUGAUGGUGAGAUUACCUCCAACGUAAAAAAAAAAAAAUUUUUUUGUUUAAAAAAUAAUUAAGGAGGUAAACUUACUUUUUAUUUAAAAUUAAUCGCUCUAAUAAUCAGUGCAGUUGAAACUGCGGCCAAUUUGGACGUUAAUUCCAACUGCUAUAGUUGGACGUCCUCCUGUAAUUUCUACUGCAAUAAUUGGAGUUAAAUAUAUCAAACCAAAUACCAAAUUUGUAUUUGCAUGUAAUUAUAACUGUCGUAUAGUUGCAAUUAUACGCAACAUUUCUUUCUAAAGUUUAGAUUACAUUUUAUUAUAUUUUUAAUAUUAAAAAAAUAAAAAUUGCCUUUAAAGGAUAAUUGUUACGCGGCUUUUAGUAGCCGAAAAUUAUUUUAGAGGUUCCUUUGAAAUGGACACUUUAUGAAUUAUUGGCAUACACAAUAUGAAGAUUUUGAUUAUUUUUAGUCAAUGCAUUUCACAAAUUAUUAUUAAAACUUUAAUUUUCAAAAUGUUGUUCCAAAAGUUUUCUCAAAUACCACCGAUGCACCAACAACUAUAAUUGGCCGCGCACGUAGAUUUAUUUAGAUUCAUAUUUAUAGAGACUAAUAACUUAUCAGUGAAACUUUGCAUAAAAGAUGCUCUAAGGUAGAGAUGAAAAUGGAUCAGAUAUUAUCCUAGCCGACUUGACUAAUCAUUCUAAAGUUAUUGUUGGAUAUGCAUCGAGAUUUUACAAUCGACUUGGAUUCGAAGUCGAAUUCGAAUUCGGACUUUGAAUUAAAAUUUGAUUUUGAUGUAAUUUCAAUAUGUAUCAUUUUUAUUAAGUUCAUGUAUUGCAUUGUUUUUCUUAAUUUUUUUUCUUUAUCAACUUUAGGAAGGUGAAAUAUUAUAUUGACAUUUUUCUUUUUACUUUUAGUUCUAAUAUUUAUUAAUAUCUGAUUUGUACCCACGUUCGAUUAAAUCCGAUUAGCAUCCGCAUUCAUUUUUAUCGAAUAUGAAUUUAAAUUUAAUUUUUGACCAAUGUUCUAAUCUGAAUCCGGAUAUUCUAAAAUUCAAGAUAAGAAAAUGUGUAAAAUGUGUUUGAAUCCGGAUGUUCUAAAAUUCAAGAUAAGAAAAUGUGUAAAAUGUGUUGUAAUAAAAAAAAAAGUCCUUCCACGUGCUGAGGUGGUGCACCAGGUGCAGCAAAUAAAAACCGCCUCCAAUCGUCUCCCUCGCACAGAAUCCAAAUACAAAAGUUAGGUGACCUCUCACGUAUCAGAUACUCAGAGAUUCCUCACCUACGCCCUCUGUCUAAAUAAUUGGGUGCACGCUUUGCUACCAAAAAUUUAGAAAUUAAGAAUUAGUAGGAGAAACAGAUCUUCUUUCUUUCUGAUUCAUCAUCAUAUUCUUCUUCUUCUUCUUCUUCUUCUUCUUUUUUUUUUUUUUUGUUUGUUGGAUUAUUAAUUGUAUGGUUAAAAUAAGUAAGUAAAUAAUAAAGGUAGAGCUUCGUAAUUAAUAUUAUAUAAUGGGGAAUUCGAUGGGCUGCUCUUCGUUCGGGGAGCGGAUGGCGGCGGCGGCACGCGACGGCGACGCGGCGGAGGUGCGGAAGCUGCUGGACGUGAACCCGGGCCUCGCGCGGUCCGCCACCUUCGGCAGCCUCAACUCCCCCCUCCACUUUGCCGCCGCCAAGGGCCACAAUGAGGUUAGUUGGUUAAUUCUCCAUCUUUCUGAAAUUAAAAAACUUCAGCGGGAAACUCUCUAACGACGUCUCAUUAGUAAGUUUUCGAUCCGCGUUAAUAUUAUCUUCGUUUAAUGAUUUGUUGAAUGUUUUUCAAUACCAAAAUUUUUAAAAAAAAUUCUGAAGUAAAGGAUUAUAAUAUUUAGAUAGAAAAAAAGUGACAAGUUGCGACGGAUUGAGAUUCAUCAACUUUUUUUUUGCCUUUUCGUGCCCAUGUACGGAGGAGAAUUGAAUUCCUUAACUUAAUUUCUAUUUUCUCUUACCUGAUUUUUUUUUUUUUUGGUAAAGAAAAAAAUAGGAUUGUAGCCGCUUCCUCCAUUGCGUGUUAGAAGGAAAGAUUUUAAUUUGAGUCUUUCUGUGAUUUAGUGUAUUUUUAGUUUGGUACUAUAUGGUAUGAUUCGUUUUGUUAUUUAUGAUUUUAUUUUUAUCUCGCCUAAGGCCAGAGGUUAAGUAGAGUAAUAAAUUGAUAUAUUUUACAAAUCACAAAAUAACAGUAUGAAAAUAUAAGUUAGUAAAAUAAAUACUACGAUUUAGCAUCCCGUGGGUUGCAAAAUUUAUUAAUUCACUAUCCUGUGCUAUAUAAAUUUUAUCACUUUAAUAUCCUACUUAACGACAGGUCUUAAUGACGAGAUAAAAAGUAAAAUCAUAAAAUAGUAUCGUGAAACAUUUCAAAUUGUAGGGUACCAAACUGAAAUUGUACUACACCACAACGGACAAAAAAAAUUUAUAUUUAGAAAUGAACUUAGCUUGAAAUGUGAAGCAAAUAAACUUCGGACUUGAGAUCUCAGAUACCAGCCAUCAAAUUUUUUGUAAUUUCCGCUAGAGACAGCCAGCCUGAUUUUUUUUUUUUAUUUUGGUCCUCAACUUUUUAUCUUUUAUAAUAAAUUCCGAUCGCUUAUUUAUUAUUUCGGUUAAGUUUUUUCUCUAAUAAAAUUGCCAAUACCAAAUAAUAUUUGACACUCAGCACCAAACUUUCCCAUGCGACUAGGGGUGUAAACGAGCCGAACACGAGCGAGCUAGGGUCGGCUCGUGUUCGGCUCGUUUAUUAAACGAGCUGAACACGAGCUGGCUCGUUAAAGUAUCGAGCCGAAAAAUUCAGCUCGUGUUCGACUCGUUUAUUAACGAGCGAACACGCGCGUGUUCGGCUCCACGAGUUGGCAAUGAAUAAUAAAUUAAAAAAAUUAGAUUAAAUAUAUAUAAAAAAUAAAUUUAUAAAAUCUUAUCCAUUAGACUUUGAUCUAAUAGUUGAAACUUUAAAUAUAAAUGAUUCUUUUAUAAUUAAGCUCGCAUUUAUAUUUUUAUUUUGCUAAAAUUUAAAUAAUAAAAAUAUAUAUUAUAUAUAAUUAUUUAUUUAUAUAUAAAAAUAUAAAUUAAAUAAAUUAUAUAAAAAUAAAAUAUAUGUAUUCGAGCUGUUAUCGAGCCGAACACGAGCGAGCUGACCCCAGCUCGUGUUCGGCUCAUUUAUUAAACGUGCUGAAAAAUCCAGCUCGCUGUUCAACUCGUUUACUAAACGAGCGAGCCGAUCUCGAGCUCAUUUUGAGCCGAACACGAACUGGCCACGUAACAGCACGAGCUGGAUUGCCACCCCUACAUGCGACAAUUUCCGGCUGGUUUAAUUUAAAUUAAAAAUAAGUAUAGGGAUAUAAUUGUAAAGAAAUACUGGGGACUAAAAUUAAGAAUUAGGUAAGGUUGGGGACCAAAUGGUUAAUUAAUGAAACUGUUUUACAAGCAUUGCUCACCAUCAGGAAAAAAAAAAGGGAAAAAAAUAAAAAACGGGGGUUAAGUGCUCCACUGCUCCACAACAUGAGUUUUCACUGUUUUAGUUUUCACUUUGGUCUCCGACCCUCAAAUUUUCGCAUUUUGGCCCCUAACAUUUAUUAGUUUUUUCAAUUAAAUUCUUUUUUAAGAAAAAUCUAUUAAUUUGAACAUAAAUUGCGACGCUUACCAACUUAAUUAAUAUGUUCUGAAAUACUUACAUCUUUUUCAUUACUAGCUAGAAAAAUUUGCCCACAUAAAUGAGGCAAAUUUACUAGGAAGCAUGUAAUAAAAUUUAAUUGAAAAAAAAAUGGUAUAAGUUUUUUUUUUUUUUUUUUUUUUUUGAGAAAAAGAUAGCACGCUACCCGCUUCAUUCAUUUAGCAAAAAAAAAAAACAAAGUUUAUUUCUAAAUAAAAGGGCUUGGUGGUUGGUAUCCGAGACCCAAGUUCGAAUACUAGUUGAUUCACAUUUCUAGCUAAGUUUAUUUCUAAAUGAAAUAAACGAAGCGGGUAGCGUGCUAUCUAUCUCUCUCAAAAAAAAAAAGAAAAAAAGAAAAAAAAAAAGGGUAUAAGUUAAUCUGUAAUUUUGAGAGGCUUAAAUUUAGCAUGAUCUAUGACCCCACUCAAGGGAAAAAAAAAAAAGAAGAAAAAGUAAACUUGACUGGGGUGCUUCUAACGAUGUUUCGUUAAGGAGCCUUAAUCAGUCGCCACGUAUUAUUUUUAUAUCUAUGCAAAGGUCAUAAUCCUUUUCUUUAGGAUUAAUUUUUUUUUUAAGAUUUUAAUAUUAAAAAAAUAUGCAAUGAGCCAUUGAAAGAAAUCAAAAUUAAAACAUGACAGCAUAUCGAGGGCUCCCUAAUAAGGUGUCGUUGGGGACCUUCCUACUAAAAUUUUAUCCCCGCAUGAGUGUUGCUAUGAAAUAAUUGUACAAUUUCUUACCUUAAUAUGACUUCAUGUAAGGUCUUACAUGAAGGGAAAAAAAAGGAAAAGAAAAAAAUCUAUUUGUUGUAAGAUACAUUUCUAGAUUUAUUUUUUAUUAGAUUUAUUUUUGGAUAACAUGAUAUCAGAGUCAUUUCUAAGCUCCCACUAUUUUAUGAGGUCGUGGGUUCAAUCAAUAUUCAUUUACAUAUUUUUCUUUAGCCGUUUUCUACAAGAUCGAUCUUUUGUGCUACGUAUGUGAGGACAAAUUUGCCCAGCAAAUUAGACAGCAAAAUGUUUUUUACUUGCAAUUAUUGCAGUGGUAAAAAGGCUAAGAUACCCUGUGGAUCUUGGUUAUGCUUUAGUGCAAAUGACAUUUGAGUAAUAGCAACUUUGUUCUAAUAUUAGUAUUUGAUAUGAAGCUUCUCUAAAGUGCCAUAGAUAAACAUAAAUAGAUCUGAUCAACUUAUAAGUAAUUAGUUUUGCUUGUAGAGAGUUUCUUGCCACCUCAUGCUUAGUGUUGUGAUGUUAUCGUGAGUUAGGAUGUAAAAGGAACAUUUUGGUUGAAUAUUUCAAUUCAAAAUUCAAUGAGUUUUCACUAGAACAGUUGUCGUGGCGCGAUCUUUCGGUUAUUCAAGUAUUAGUGCAAUAAUAAUCUCUCUUUUAAGUUUGAUACAUCUCUCUCUCUUUUGCACGGCAGUAAUGCGAUUUUAUUUGUAAAUCACAAUAUAGUACUUGAAAAUGCGAACGCUGAUAAAGUUGUCAGAAAACUACAAUGUGUUCUUGUGUGAUCUCCAUACUACUAUACAAGUUUUUUGCCGAUCGACAAAUACAUAUGUUUGCAAGAGGGAUGCGAAGAAUCGAGUUGUCGAUGCAGCUACAGCGAUUCUAACUUUGUUUUUGUUCAUGCUGCAGUAGCAAGAUAUAAUUAGGUUGUGAUAUCACUAUUUUCAUCAGCUUAUUCUAAGGUGAUAUUGAUGUGCAAUAUCAUUUAUCUGUUUAGGUUGUUAGAGUGCUUCUGGAGAAUGGCGCAGACGUGAACUCGAGAAACAUAUAUGGACAGGUAUACACUUAUAUCAUCAAUUAAAAUUCUUGAGAUCCUCCUUUGGUUAACUCUCAUUUUUCUGAUACUCUCUUCUUUUUUCUUUUUUCACUCUUCUGGCUAAAGACUCCGCUUAUGCAAGCAUGUCGCUGCGGGCACUGGGAGGUGGUGCAGACUUUCUUGCUGUUCAAUAGCAAUGUAUGUGCAUGUCUUACUUAUUUUGAUUUUGUUCGUGAUUUGUGUAUACAUAUGAUUUUAGUCAGUUCUUAUCUUACAUCUGGUUUCAACUUGUGCUUAAAAGGCAUUAAAAGUGGAGUGCGUUAGUAGUCGGACCGCACUGCACUUUGCAGCAGCUGGCGGACACAUAAGAUGCAUCAGACUGUUGGCCGCAAACUUUGCCCCCGACAUUUCUUCUGGAGCAACUGCAGAUUCUAAAGCUGAAAGCAAAGAGGAUGACAGAGGCAGGUAAUAAUUACAAGAUUGUAUAGACACCUCACAAACUAUAGAUCAUUUGGAAACAAGUCCAUCUAUCAAUUUUUCCAGAUUCUAGACUUCGACAACUGUGUUGUUUCAUUUACAGAAAAUUCCAUCAGGUUUUAUCAGAACUUAACACUUUCUGAGUCUUUUGCAAAACCAAUGAGUUGUGACAGAAUUUAAUAAAAUGAGACAGACAUGUUAGUUUACAGACUUUCAUAUAGGAAGGUAACCAAUAACUGUAUCUCUCUCUCUUGAGACUCUUACUGAUGUUUCGAUGAUGUCGUGGUAUGUCGAGAUCAUGCCUAAGCUAGUUUCUGCAUCUCCGUGCAGUGCCCUCUCGAGCUUCAUCAAUAAGCCGGCCAGUGGCGGUGUGACAGCGAUUCAUAUGGCAGCUUUAAAUGGCCAUUUCGAGUGCGUGCAUCUGCUUCUGGAUUUGCAUGCUAACAUAGCGGCACAAUCACUUACUUACGCCACAUCAUCCACCGGUUCAAUAGGUAUCUUCAGUGCUUCCAUAACUACUCUCCCUUGAUUUGCAACACUAUUGACGGCUUCCGCUCUCUUGUAUCCUGAUUGGUGUGGCAGGAGCUGGAAGCACUCCUCUGCAUUAUGCCGCUUGCGGGGGGAAUUUCAAGUGCUGCCAGGCGAGUACUUUUGACAACUCAUUUCCGACUUCGGUAGACCGUAUAGUGAUCAGCUUCUUAUCGUUUGUUAGAUUUGGGCCGUUUCUUUAUUCAGGUUCUUCUUGCUAGAGGUGCGAGUAGAUUGGCGGUGAAUUGUAAUGGGUAAGCCCCCCACUCCUACCCACACGCACAUCACACACACACACACACACAUACACUCAUUAGCUAUUCCUUGAAUGAUACACUUUAUUUUUUCUCUUUUUCCUGAAAAUCUAGACUUAUAUUCACUUUUUUGAUGGUGGUAUCAGGUGGCUUCCGAUCGAUGUUGCUAAGAUAUGGGGAUGCCAUUGGCUAGAGACAUUGCUAUCACCAAAGUCCAGGAUGAUAAUACCCGCGUUUCCACCGUCAAGUUAUCUAUCAUUGCCUCUCACCAGCAUUCUAAACAUUGCUAGGUACUUCAUUUGUGUACCAGAAUGUGCUUCUUGCUUCUUGUUUUUACCACAACUUUCCGAGAAUGUUGCAAGAUAUCUACAUAUUCGAAAAACAUGAUCGACUAAUGCGUGAGAAAGAAUCGAGAUAUCAACUGAAGACGAGGAGAUUGUGAUUCGACUAUCUUUUGCUAGCCAUUCAUGCCUUAUGACGAAUAAUUCCUACUCGGAAAUUUAUUACUCUUGUUUUGUGGUGUGGUAAUCAUAUUCACUAAAUCUUUGUGUGCAGAAAGUAUGGUUUGCAGCUAUCACCUGCACUCUCCGAUGAUAGUGAUGAUAAUGAUGUUUGCGCCGUUUGCCUCGAAAGAUCUUGCAAUGUUGCUGCUGAAGGUAAUUGGCCUUUUAUUUUCAGUUCUUUUUAAAUAAUUUUCAUGUAAUUAUGGAAUUGAUCCAUGUUUCUCUUUGCCAUACACUCUCAGAGCAUCAAUUAAUGUUAUUUAUACUCAUUAGAUUAACAAUCUUGUUUUUACAGUAUUUAUAGCUCAUCCAUCCAAUCCAAAAUGUAUCUUGCUAUCUUUUUUUUUUUUUGUUUAAAUGAAAAACAAAUCGCAUUCGGGUACUCCUGACGCUAAGUAAGAUUUCAUCAGAAUAGCUCGGUAUAGCCACUGGCGAAUUGUUCCUCCUAAGUUCAGUAUCCACUGUGUUACCACACUAUGUUUGAUCACUGGAAUAAGGGAAUUGUUCCGAUGUUUUCAUAUUAUCAACUCAUUAUAUUUGUUUGGUUCACGUUUUAGGUUGUGGACAUGAGCUUUGUGUAAGAUGCGCGCUGAAUCUCUGUUCGACAAUCAAAGCAAAUGAGAUGUCUGAGGCAGCUGGUUCAAUUCCAUGCCCCCUGUGCCGCAGCGGAAUACUAUCUUUCAGAAAAUUGCCUACUCUUUCACCGAAAGAACAUGAAUCGAAUCUGCCUGUCAGACUUGGCAACAAGUGUUGUCUAAAUCCUUCUGAUCGCGCCUCAUCUGUAACUACCUGCAAAUCUGAAUUGUGUAAGAACCGUGUUGAAGCACUUCCCUCUGAAGCAAUCGACGCGCUCCCUUGCACUCCAUUCUCGUCUUCGGCCAUCCUUUCCUAAAGGAGAGAGUAAUUGAGAUGUACAUGUUAAGUGGAGGAGAGAUGUUGUUCUACCGCGCAAAUAAUUAUCGAGGACAAAAGGCGACACAAAUUGAACAUGAAAUGCUUUGGUAUCCGACAACUGGUGCGAGUUAUCUUAUUCGAAUUCGUUCUCGUCGCCGUAGAUUGGUUCCGUCUGCGUACUGCUAACUACAGUACAUAUGUUUCAGCAUGAAAGAUGGCUAUUUUGACAUAGGUAAAUAGUGGAAUUAGGUGAUUUUAGAACAAUCAUUGGUUUGUGAAGAUGUAGCAUAUAAUUCUUUUAGUGUGUCUUAUUAAAAAGCACAUUCUUUUAGCAUGAUUCAGAGUGUGGUUGUAAAAUAUAUUGUAAACAUAUUGUAAGCGCCUUGAAUAGAUGAUUGUUUGAAAAAAUUCUGAAGCACUUGAACUUUCAAUGUUGAAUGGAUUUGUGGUCAAGAAUUUCAAUGUUGGAUUUACUUGUAUCAGUUUUCUCAAUGAACCAUACUACAAGAAUAAACCAAAUGAACUAAAUUUUUAAUAAUUUAAUAUUAAUAUUAGUUUUUUUUAUUUUUAUUUUUUGUAAAAAAGUAUAUAUUAGUGUUAUAUAGUAAUUACACACUUAGAGACUUUAGCCACUAUUAUAUCUCCUCCAAGGUUCAACAUAAAAACUUAUACAUCAAGGAUUGCUGGAGAAGGAAGGAUUGGAAAUGGAAUAACAUCACCAGAGGCCUGAUGAAUGGUUCGCCACCUAUAGUUGUUAUUUGUUUUAUAGAAAUCAAAAAUUCCGAUUUCUAUUCCAUUCUGGAAUAGAAAUGACACAAUUCAUUUAUGGCCAAAUUCGCCUUUUAUGUUACGGCGGUGGGCUUCCAACAAAUACAUCGAUAUGCUUGUUACGGUAUAUAGAGAUCUCCACAAAAAAUAAAAUAGGAAAGGUAAGAGAGGAAGAAGACAAAUAAAAAAAUCUGGUACGUUGUCAUGACUCAUGAAAGCAAAACAAAAUAACUUUAUUGAAGAAAAUAACUCAUCACCGUAUGGAACCUUCGGCGAGCGCUAAUUAAUUAUGGCGACUCCCGACUUCAUUAACCAAAUAAUCCCGGUCUAUCUAUUUAUAGCUAAUUACAUAGAAUCCUACUCUGAUUCGAUUUCAUCUUAACCAUAAUUUAAAUAACCGAAUAUAAUAAUGAAUAAGAUCAAAUAAUCUAAUCCUAAUCUCAUUCGCAUUAUCUCUAACAUUCCCCCAUAAUGCUAAUAUUCUUCACACUGAUCUUCUCUCGGCAAAAUAUGAAUUUCUCCAAUGGUAGCGGCUUUGUGAAAAUAUCGGCCAUCUGCUACUCGAUAGCGCAGUGUAUCAACUCGAACCCUUCUCGUACUUUUUCGAUCAUCAACUGAACCUGUCCAAUCACUAUUAAAACAAUAAAAAUCAUUAGGGUUAGUAUACCACAACCGUAGUAUACUACAACCGGUGGUCUCUUGUUCCUUUCAAAUAUCUCAAUAUCCUUUUCGCCUUAUAUAUUCACUUAAAUCCAAUAACUUAUUUAUCUAUAGGCGAUUCAACAAACUCGUAGAUAUUAUUUUUCCUUGACGCCACAUUUUCUUUAUUCGUCACCUUACACUAAUCAUUAGAUUUGGUCGCCUUUUCGAAGUUUUGUGAUUCUCCACAUUGUGAAUACAUGCACUGUUCGUAUAUUUUACUAAGUGAUUUUACUUUUCUUGGCGUCGUCUCUGGAGAAGUUUCUGGUGAACUCUGUGGUGAAGUUCGUGGCCGGUGUUGUUUCCGUUUUUGUCGUACUUUCACCAUUGUUUCUAUUUCAGUUGCAGUUUCAUUUUCGAAUAUCGAAAGUGGAUUAUCCUGUACUUUUGAGCUCCAAUCCCAAACUUUUUGUUUAUCAAAUAUAGCAUCAUGACUUAUAAUUAAAUAGUUAGUAGCAGGAUUAUAAAAUUGAUAGGCUUUACUUUUUUCGCUAUAUCCAACAAAAAUACAUUUCUGAUUAUCAUCAUCCAAUUUUUGCCUAUUUUGUGAUGGGAUAUGAAUAAAAGAAACCGAUUCAAAAAUUUUAAAGUGUUUUAUCAUCGUCUUCCAACCUGUCCAUGCUUCAUAAGGUGUAAUAUUCUCUAGCGCUAAAGUUGACUUCUAUUGAGAAUGUAUGCUGUAGUAGAUACCGCUUCUGCCCAAAAUUUGUUCGGGAGUUUUUUCGCUUUCAACAUACUUUUUGCCAUCUCAACUAAACUUCGAUUUUUGCGCUCUGCAACACCGAUCUGCUGAGGCGUGUAACUGGUUGUCAACUGCUUGUGAAUACCAUUAGCUUUACAAAAAUUUUCAAAUUUGUUAGAAAUAAAUUCUCCUCCUCGAUCUGUAUGGAGGGUCCUAAUAUAAUAACCAGAUUCGUUCUCGACCAAAUUUUUAAAUUUCUGAAAAGCAUUAAAAAUUUUGGAUUUAUUUUUGAUAAAAUAAACUCAAGUCAUCCGGUUAUAGUCAUCCACGAAAACCAAUAUUGCUCACUCCUAAUACUCCCAGUGAAGAUCCAUUUAUAAGAAAUUGAUGCUUGUCUGAUUAAGCACUGAGCACAGCAGACUAAUGCAACUUACUGCAUUAUUGCUUUCCUGAAAAUAGGGCAAUGAAAUUGUCUCCCAUCUCAUAAAACUCCAGAAUUUUUUUUAAGAAAACUUUCUAUUAUAGCAGUAACACAUUUUUUUAAAAAAACAUCAAACAUAUUAAAAAUUAUAAUUGUUAAAAAUAAAAGAAAAAAUAAAAUCAAAUAGGCUUUGCUUACAAUUUUGCUCACUGCUGUAACUAAAAUCUGAUUUGUAUACUAUAGACAUAGUUGUACAAAGGGUUUGGUUCAAUCUGAAUAUCCUGACUAUGGGCUCGUUAAUUUGGUCUAGAUUUUAGAUUAUGGAAAUGUAAUUUCUGUAAAAUUAAUUUUGGUUAAAAACUAUAGAAUGUUUAGCUCAAUUUUGAUGGAAAACUAUUUUUUUGAAGUGAUUUUGUAAAGCUGUCUAGUAAAUUUUUUUAAUAUUUGCAAAUAGUAAUUUUUUUACUAAAUUGUAUUUUAAAAUAGUUUAAAAUUUGAACUUUAAAUUUAAAAUUUCAAUUACAAUUUUAAAUUUUAAAUUUUAAAUUGGACAAAAAUUUAAAAUUUGAUAUUUUAAUGAGAAAUAUGGAUUUAAAAUUUUAUAUUUUAAAUUUGAAAUCUAAAAUUUAAAUUUUUUAAAUCUAAAUUUAAAUUUUAAAUAUCAAAUUUAAAAUCUAUAUUUGAAAUUUAAAUUUUAAAAUUUAGAAUUUGAAUAUUGUAGUGUCCCUGAUGUUUAGCUGUUCGAGAAACUUCAGCAGCAGUGGCUUGUCGAUAUGUCUGGAGAGUGUCGGAAGAAGUCGGAGUCGUUUCGGCGCGAAUUGGACCCAAAACAGACUCGACGCUGUGCGAGAGUGGAGUUCUGACACCGAAAUCUGCAAAGUGCAGGAUUUUAGUGUUUCGUACCGGUACCUGAGAGGAGUAUCGGUACCCUAGUGAAAUUUUUGAACUGAAUGCUCUCGGGUUUGCACAGUUUGUUGCUGAGUACCGGUACCUGUUGUUGAGUACCGGUACCGAGCUUGUGUACCGGUACUGCAUCGGACUAGUACCGGUACCCAGCGCGCGAGAGUGAGGAAAGAGGGCCGAGUACCGGUAUUCAAGUUGAGCAUCGGUACUCCCAAAGGCAAUUGAGUUAGUAAGGGGUAAUUUUGUCUUUUGAUUGUCGAUAAAUACCACUCAACCCCAGCCUUCUCUCUUUGUGCCUGAAGGUGGAGAACUUAGGUAGCUUCUCCUCCCUCUCUCUCUCUAGCUUUUUUUCUCUCUCUAGCUUUUUCCCUCAUCUCGUUGGGAGCUUGAAGACUGAGAUGAUGUUUUUGUUCGCUUGUCUUUGGAGGAUUGCGCGCGCGCCAUGGUUGAGUCUGGUUGAGGCCGUGGAGGGCGAGCUAGCGCGAGGUUCUCCUCUCGACUUCUAGCCAACGUUGGACGAGCAUUCGAGGUGGGUUGAUGUUUAUCGAAAUCGUUGGAUUUCCUCCUAAGUCGUUGAGUUGUUAGCAUGUGGUUCUUGUUUUGGUUUUCAUGUUAGUAGCGCAAAUUCAGAAAAUGUAUGUUUUAUGAAAUCUGAGUUUUGGAGCAUGAUCUAGUAAUUUAGAUAAAUUUAUAUGCUGAACCUGGAAUUGACUUAGGAGAAAAUUCGUUAAACCUACAUUGUCAUUUUCUGAAAAGUUACCAGAUUUAGCUUCAGGAGCUAUUGCUCUUUUGUAUCACCGCUGUUAGUGCGUAGUAGAUCCUCAGAUUAGUGUAGGUUGAGUUUACGGUCGCGCUGAGGAGCUGAGUGAGUUUUACAGUUGAGUUAGUCUGUGUUGGACUGCCGGGUACCGUCGGGACGAACGGUGGACCCAGAUUUCUGUAUCUUGCAUCAAAUUGUGUCAAGGGCAUGUGAGCUUUGGUUGUUAGACCAGUUUGACCCAUUUGCAUUGACUACAGCCUGUGAGAGCUUGAUUGAGCUCGACAGAGACACACUUGCAUACUCAGUUGGGUUACGCCCACGAGUGCCACUCCGGAGUGAGAUUUUGAUUUACGUUGAUGUCGCAAUAGUCCUGUUUGGAUAGUUUAUGUGGACCGGCCACUCCCGUGGGUGGUGUACAGUGUAGCUUGGUUAUAGGCAAGGUGGGUCUGUUUGGGCAGCCCGUGUAAGAUUGGGUCAAUGGUAGCUAGUGAUGCAUGUUUAUGUCUACAGAUAGUUGGUUUUGGUAGCGAUAGUAUAGAGGCAUGUAGCUAUAGAAUUCUUUUAAGCUUUCCUUACUAUCCUAUGCAUAUCAUUACUGUAGACUUAGUGGGUGGGCCGUUGAGGUCCGUGAUGGUACCCACUGAGGACUACUCUGUUUUGCAAUAGUUCUCACACCCAGUGGUUGAUACCUUUUUUUGCAGAGCCUUCGUCUGCGGCUGCUGCUGUUGCUAAUUCUGACCGUGGUAAGGGAGUCGCGAGCUAGAUCCCUACUAGCCUUGAUCGUCGUGCUAGCGGAGUACUCGUCAGAGGUAGUGAGUUGCAUUCAUAUACAUACUCUUUAUUUUGUGUACUCGCUAGAGCGAGGUGCUAUUGCGGACUCUUUUAUGUACAGUGAACCCUUUAUAUUCUAUAUAUGUUUUUAGUUCUAAUAGCUCUAUACACUUGGCUGUAGCUAUAACUUGCUUACAGAUACAGCUAUCACUUCAUAUAUACGAAAAAUUCUUAUAUAUAUGGCGGGUCUGUUGGCGUGCCCGAAGAAACGUGGGAAUCUGGGGCGUGACAAGUAUAUAAAAUUUAAAAAUUAAAAUUUUAAAUUUUAAAUUUUAAAUUUUAAAUUUUAAUUUUAAAAAUUUAAAAUUUAAAAUUUGAAAAUUAAAACUUAUAAUUUUAAAUUGUAAAUUCUAAAAUUUCAAAGAUUUAAAAUUUAUCUUAAAUUUAAAAUUUGAGAUUUAAAAUUUAAAUUUAAAGUUUAAAUUUGAAACUUAAAAUUUGAGAUUUAAAAUUUAAAAUUUGAAAUUUAAUAUCUAAAUUUAUAAUUUAAAAUUUAAAAUUUUAAAAUUUUAAAUUUUAAAAUUUUAAAUUUUAAAAUAAAACUUUAGAAUUUUAAAAUAUAAUAUAAAAUUCAAAAUUCAAAAAUUAAAAUUUGAACUUAAAUUUAAAAUUUGAAUCUAAACUAAAAAAAAAAUAAAUUUGAGUCCAAAAUCAUAAUCAAAUUUUAAGAAGUAGGUUUUAAUUGCCUCUUAUUUUAGACCUCAAAAAUUAAAAAACUAAUUCUAAAAAUCACCCACUACAUCUCCACAUGUGAGAAAUAUACUUUCUUGUCUUUUUUUUUUUUGGGUUUCUUAUGAAAAAAAGAGUUCUGUUGGGCCAGUAAUGCGCGGCCAGGUGGUACACCGAUACUCCAAUUAACCUCAAUCUUUAAAAGUAAGGAUUCUGAUGUGCACUGGGAGCAUCGAAAUAAAUUUGAGCAACCGUCGCGUAUAACUGAGGGGAGUUACAGUAACCGCAAGUGGUUUACAAGCGAUUCCGAUCUGCUGGAAGUAACCCAAAAAAAUAGGAGUAGUGGCUGAUCAUGGAUGGGGAGUAACUGAUGAAAAGAAGCCAUCGGAAAUACUUUCGGAGUUGGCGUAAGGCUAGCAAUACGGCCUGUGUUGAGAUCACCUUAUCUUGCAAAUAUAAAUACAUAGCUGAUUGUUACACCAUCUCCAGAGGGUAGUGGUUUGAUAGAAUCAAAAAUUUCCCUGUAGACAAAAACAAGGAAAUAGGGUCCUAAAGCUAAUCUAUUGCCGUUAGCUAAACCUACGGCGAUCGGGACGAAAUCCCGAUUAAUCUUCUGUGAACGAGUGCAAAAAAGAUUAUGGCAUAACCAAUACAAAAGAUGUAAUGUACUAAAAUUUUGAGUUGCGACGCUAACUUUGCUCUGGAAGAUCAAAGUGAAGUUUGAAUUGGAUGUGCAUCAUUCCCGAGUGAUUUUGGAGGUGUGGAAAUAAUUUCUGGAGGUAAUUGAGUGUUUGAUGCAAAUCGGGCGUGACAUGGAAGAGAGUUUUGGAUUACAAGGUUAACUUGAAAUUUUAUUGCUCAAAGAGAAGUAAUAAUGUAAAUGCGGUAUUCCUGAACUAAAUUGAUAGCUCGGGGAUAGUGUUUGGCAUUCUUUGGAGGUACUUAGAUGGAUUCGGAGUGAACUAGAUGAUCCAAAAGGCCUCCAGUUGCUGCUGUUGCUAUGUAGUGUGUUGGAGUUUGAUUAUGUUACUAAUUUUGAUCAAAAUGAUCAAGAUAAAUGCUAAAAUAAAAAUUAAUUACUUCCAAAUUAAAUUAGCAGCUUGUAGACGUUUAUGAGCAUGAUUUGGAAGUGAUUAUAAGUGUUUAGUGCAGGGACUGAUUUGUAAACCUGCAGGGACUGAUUGGUGUUUAGUGCAGGGACUGAAAACUGCUGCUACCAGCUACUGUUUAGUGCAGGGACUGAUUUGUAAACCUGCAGGGACUGAUUGGUGAACCUGCAGGGACUGAACUGCGAACUGCUGGACUGCAAUGCAGUUUCAGUCUUUUAAGGGGUUAAAGUGUAAUUUUUUGAGCUUAUCUUUUAGCCCCAGGUUAAUUAUACAUGCCUACAUAUCUAGCCCCCUCUCUCUCUUCUUUCUUUUCAUUUCUUUCCUCUUUCUUUCUCUCUCUAAGCUGGUUGAGGCUUGGUGAGUUGGUGCUGGCAGAGUUGGAAAAGAGUUGGAUUUCUUGGUGUCUUGAGCGGAAAGGGAUCUGCCGAGCAGGGUCUUUGUGCUAUUGGAACUAAGAACAACCUGGUAGAACAUCAGAUUAAGGUAAGUUGGUAUAAUAUCUGAUGGAAUUUGAGUUUUCUGCCUUAGAAAAGAUCUAGAUUGAGGCUUGGUGAUCUUGGUGGGCAGAUUUUUGGAGUUCAUGGAGUUUUCAGUUGAUAAGUGAAGUUUGGGGCCGAGAAAUCCCUUUGGGAAGUUUCAAAUCCAGGUAAGCUUGAUGUCUACUCCUGGUUUGAAUAACAUUGGCUGCUUGGAAGUUGGUUUCUAGGUGAUUAAAGCUUGUAUUAGCUUAUAGAGACCCUGAAAUUAUAUAAGACUGCAUAUAUGUAUAUGGAUAUAUAUGUAGGAAUGUAAAGUAGAUAAUCUGACCAUGUUUCUUUAAAAAGGGAUAGUAAAUUCAACCUAGAAAAUAGUGGAAUCAAAGAUUUCUUAUGUGCUGAAAUUCGAAACAGUAUGGAGAACCUAUAAAACGAGUUCUAUGUAUGUAUGUAUGUAUGUAUGUAUGUAUGUAUGUAUAUACACAUAGAUCUAAGUGAGCAGCAUGUUCAGAAUGAAAGUUGGAUCCAAUUAGUUUUAAAUUUUGAAGUCGAAUGAUGUUAAUCCCUGUUUAAAAAGGCUAGCUAAUAGGUAAAGGGGUUGAGCUGAAAGUUGUUGAUUGCUAAUAUGCUUAAUUACUAUAAACCUAAGUAAUAAGCUUUAUGUCAUAUAUGUUUAUGUAGAUGUAGUAUACAUAUAUGUAGAAGAUGAAACCUGAGUUAAGUUAACUUAAUUUCUAAAUUAGCCUGAUUCUAAUUACUAUACCAAGGUUGAAUUGCAAGUAAAAUUAACCCCUAGAGUGAUGCGGCUGUUAAUAAACCUAUAGUAAACUGCAGGUUAUANNNNNNNNNNNNNNNNNNNNNNNNNNNNNNNNNNNNNNNNNNNNNNNNNNNNNNNNNNNNNNNNNNNNNNNNNNNNNNNNNNNNNNNNNNNNNNNNNNNNUUUGCUAAGCAAAAUUUUCAUUUCGAUUGAAGAUUGGGACUCCCGGCUGAAUGGAAACCCCCCCAAUUAUCCUUUUUUUCAAUCCGACCUAGGGGACCGGAUUGAAAAUUAACUUCAGACGGAAUGAAUUUGUUCGAAUUAAAUUUAACUUUUUUUAAGCUUAUUUUUAAAUUAAAAUAUAAGUUUAAGUUUAAAAAUUAUAUUUAUAAAUUUAAAUUUUAAUUUGAACUUAAAUUAAAAAUUAAAUUCAAUCAAGCAUUUCAAAUCUAAUUUAUAAAUUUGAAUUUAAAUUUAAAUUUAAUUUAAAAUCUAAAGUUUUUAUUCAAAUUUUUAUUUUAAAUUAAAAUUAAAAUUUAUGGAUUCAAAUUGAAUUAAAAUUUAAAUUAUAUUUUUAAGUUUGAAUUUAAAUCAAAAAUUUUGAUACCCAUUCAAUUUCAAAUUUUAAUUUUUUUAAAAAAUAUAUUUAAAUUUUUUAUAUUACUUUAAAAUUUUGACAUAAAUUUUUAAUAUUUAAUUUUCACUUUAAAUUUAAACUAAUAUAUUAUAAAGAUAAAAUUGACAUAUUAAUUUGAUUACGAUUCUGAUAUCUAUCUAAACCAAACAUUGACAAUGGGAAUGGAUCAUUCCAAUUCCGAUUUAAAUAGUGAACCAAACUGAAUAAAGUAAUGAAUCAUUCAGCUUCCGUUUUCAACUUAUUCCUAUGUCGAUUUCGAUACUGAUUCUGACAAACACACCCUAAAACUUCAAAAUAUUAUGCUUGUCCGCUCCAAAGUAAAAAAUAUCACAAAUAUCUCUCUAAAUAUACAAAUAUAUUUUUACUAUCCUUUUAAAUAUUCACCAAUUCUUUUAUUGCCUAUAGCUUUUAGUCCUAAGCCUUUCUAUAUAUAUAUACAAGAGCGCUUAUGAUAUUUUUUAAUUUAGAGAAAAAUUUAUAAAAUUACAACUUUUUGAGAGAGAAUAGAAGAUAUAACCAUAAAAUGUACCGCUAAAAGUAUAGGCUAAGAAUGCAAUCAAUCUCCUACAAAUAUCUUUAUUUGCACUUAAAGCCAUUUUGAAUAUGACUCGGCCUAAUUUUGCCUCUCGUCGUAGAGGAGCAUGAUUGUCCCUUUAAGCCAACAAUCUCCAAACACCUACAUAAAUUUGCAACAUACUAUAAUUAAACCCAUGACCUCUAACUUUGAUACUACUUAUUCAAUUGUUGGUGUUAACUAUUAAUUUCAAAACUUGAGUGGUAAGAAAGUUGCAACUAAUUUCACUUAAAACGUAGAGAAACAUCCCCCAUUGGUUUUGAUUGUGAUUUGAUCUGACCAUCGUCUAGCCACUUUGAACAUGACUCGAUCCAAUCCAACCUUCCGUCAUUCUAAAUAUGACUUGAUCCAAUCCGGUCUUCUUUCACAGGGCAGGAUAUGCUGCCUCCUAUAAGCCAACACAAACCACCAGCACGAAAAAGUUAGUACAGCUAUUAGUUCUAAUAUACACGUCGCAUAUAAGCUUCUCACACUCUUCCAUACAAUCCGAUGUAGGAAUAUUGGGUUGUCAUAUUCUGCAUGUGCAGUCAAUCUGAUACGCAACAAAUUUGACUUAUAGCACACGAAGAUUAUACUCAAUACAAUCAUUACUACCAACUCUGUCACUUAAAUGUCACCAUGUAAUAAGCCAUGCAAGCAAAUCAGUAUCAUAACAAUAUUUCAAUUAUGUUUCAUGCAGCUAAAGUCCACAACGACAAUCAUUUUAAGUAUGACUUAACAGGUGUAACAGUAAGAAAAUAUAGUAAUAUGCUAAUCAACAUGAUCAAUAAUUUAUUCUCGAUAGAUUUUUGGGAUUCAAUAGAGGAAACAUAUAUAUGACAAGGUAAGGAUGAGAGUGGUCUCGCGUUAGAGGAGAAGAAGAAGAGAUCGAAGAGAGUUUAGGGUGAGAGAGUAGAGAUUCAAAAACCCUAUUUAUAGAGCUUUCAGGAAGGCCUCGGCCGAAUAGCCAAACACCUGCAUCGACCAAUUUGGAUAGCUCGAGUCUACCAACUGCCAAGCCUGAUACUUUCUGAGGAUUCUCUCUGCUUUCCCAAGCGAUCUUCCAUUCAAAUUUAAAAACUAGUCAAUCAUACCUUGACAGCCAAUGGACUGCCAGUGGGCGAUAGACUGUCACGUAUUCAGGUCUCCAAAACCUUUUAACUUGUACAAUCAAAGCUACCCUUGGUCGACCAUUCACUAUCGUUCGAUCGAUCACUGGUGUGUGGUGGACUUGCUACGUGUUCGUGUCAAACUAACAGAUAAAGCCCACUAACCGUGCAAUGAUCGAUACGAAUGAAGCUGAUCGUAGAUCAACCACCAGUCUACCCCUGGCCAACCACCUGUCUUCUAAAAUCACAAAUUCACAAAUUCAAGAGAAUUCGGACUUCCAUAACAAAUUUCACGAAAAAUAAUUAAUACAAAGACAGAUCUUUUUAGUAAUCCCCUUGGCGUAUCUCUCGUGUGUGUCGUGCCCUAAAGUCCUAAUUGUGUUGUCAUUACGAUCAACAGAUAACAGUAUCCAGGAGCACAUAUUAGGCCCUCUCUAAACCCGUUAUUGUUUUUCUCUUUUUUUGUUUUGAGAGAUACGUGGCAAGGUACCCACUUCGUUUAUUUUAUUUAGAAAUAAACUUAGCUAGAAAUGUGAAUCAACUAGGAUUCGAACUUGGGAUCUCGGGUACCAACCACCAAACCUUUUGCCACUUGCUCUAGGGACGACUUGCUACUGUUAGUUUGCAAAAAUAAUGUUCUGAUGCCCAAAAUUGAUCGUGGCGAUGCGUUGUGCCUUAGAAUCCUAGUCCCUUGACUUAUGUGCUCCUAGCUAGGGUAAAUUGCACUAUUAGUCCAUGAAGUUUUAGCUGGAGUUUUAUUUUUUGUUCUCAAACUUCGAUUUUCAGGCUCUAAACUUUUAAUCAUAUAUCAUUAGUCCCUGACUUUCUAUAGUACUGUUUCAAUCAAGUGCUUACCUUAAAUUAAAAAAACAAUGCUUGCACUGUUUAUUCUUACAUUAUGAAUUAUUAUUUUCUUCAUCCGAUUUCAUAAUUUCUAAUUUAAAAUUUGUAUGUUUACAAAAGAAAAAAUAUAUAUAUAAUUCAUUGGGUGAUACGAUCGAAAUAUCUACUACAAAUACAUAAUUUGACAGUCUCAAAAGGUGUACGUGGCAUUUUUUAACACUUCCAAGUCAUACAUCCUUUUUCUCACUUUUUCUCUCUCUAAAUCUGCUUCUUUCAUCUCUUCUUUUCUUCUCUCUCCUCCCACUCAUACCAAAAUGUCUUGGAAAGGUAAGAUACUCCUUAACUCCUUCCCCAAAAUUUUUUUUUCUUUUUCCAAGAUAUUCUUGGAUAUUCCUGGCUUCUUCCCAAGGUUGGACUUUGACCAAGAUAUUGCCAACUAGCACUCUCUUUGCCUUCUACAGAUAACCCCUCCCUCUUCUCUCUCUCUCUCUCUCUCUCUCUCUCUCUCUCUCUUCCUCUCUUAAGGUGGACCCCUCUCUUUUCUCUCAGGCCCCCCUCUUUCUCUCUGUCUCUCUCUCUCUCUCUCUCCCUCCCCUCUCUCCUCUCUAUCUUAGCCUAAAAUGAUGCUGAGAUUGAUGAACCAAUCCCAAUCGAGGGUGUCGCGGAGCAACACGGCUGCGGCGUGGAGGGUGUUGGCGACCAUGGUGGGGCCGCGGUAGGUAACGAGGUUGGCCUUGAAGAUCAUCUUGACGUUGCGGCGGGCGGCGAGGACGGGGUGGAACGCGAGGCUGUCGCGGAGCGCGUCGCGCUCGGAGGAGGAGAAGGAGGAGAGGAAGGGGGGAGGGGCAUUAACCUCCUCUCCGCCGCCGCGCUCCUCCGCUACUCCCACUCCGCCCCCGCCUCCCUCCUCGCCUAGGGCGCCCUCUCCCUCGGCCCCUUCGUCCCUCCUUUGCCACCGGCGGAGAUCCCCGCGACGGCCGUGGCCCCCCUCUUCCCGAUCCCGCCCCCGCGGUCGCAGACGACGCCACCCCUGCGGCCGCCGACGACGCCGCCCCCAUGGAUGGCCGGAGCCCUAGCCGCUGAUCGCGAUCCCGCAAGCACGCUCACUCCCCAAACUCUAACCCCCCUCCGAUCGUCCCUAAACCCAUUCCCUACAAUUAAAACAAAUAAAUUAAAAAAAUUAAAAACAUAAUAUAUCGAGGUAUCUUAGCAUUUGAGCAUCAACGGGGGUCGCUUCGCCUCAACCUCAUCUUGCUGUUGAGGAAUCUUAGAGUGAUUACUGUGAACAUCUCAUAUACCCUAAAAAAACAAAUUAAAAAAAUUUUUAAAAAAUGACUUUUGCAGGGGUCGUGGUGAAAUUUUAAAAAAAUUUUAAAUUAUUUAGAGCAUAUAAAUGUUAACCGCAGCGAAGCGCGGGUUCUAUACUAGUGUGAUUAAAAAAAUAGUCAACAAAUGAAUGGAGCAUAGAUAUUAGACGGAUUAGAUGUAGCAAUAUUUAUUCUCCAAUUGUAAAAUAUCUACAAGGACUAAAAUAAAAAAAAAAAAAAUUAAGAAUUUAAGAACCAACAUUGUAACACCCUAAUAAUCUCAUAUUAGAUAGAAAAAAAAUUCUAUAUAAAAGUAUAACAACUAAUAUCCAAGAUUCCAACUCGAAAGUUUGAGGACCAAAAUAUAAGGGGGGUAAAAGUUUACUUUAGUGUGCAACUAAUCCAAACUUUUAUGCAAUUUUAUUUUACAUCUGUGUGGGGGAGCUAUUGGGGGUUAUUUUGGGUACUUAUUAGCUUAAUGUUAAAUAUCCGGAUAAAAAGGGUCAGGAAAGGGGAACAAAUGGGUGGACACGUAUUAACAAAAAAAUAAAUAAAUAAAAAGCGUGCGUGACACAGUUGUGUACUAAAAUAAAAUAAAAUAAAAUGGAAGGUUUGGUUGCAAUGUCCGGAGAUCUCUAUAAGGUAGUUCUGAAAUUGACAAUUAAAAUAUAUCUCAACUGUCAUCUGAUCCGACUAUUUAAUUUUUAAAAUUUUUAUUUUAUUAUCUAAUUUUUAACUUAUUUAAUUUAAGUCUGGACCGCCUGGUGACGGUGAUAACUCUUAGUUUUAAAAUAUAAAUAAGUCUAUAUUCUCAACAUUUUACAUAACUAUAAAUUUAUUAAAAUGGACAAUUAAUUUAAAUUUUAUAUUGAAAAAAUCAUUAGAUAAAUUAAAUUAAAAUAAAUUGAAAGGCUGUGUAUUAAAAUUAAAAUUUUAAAAGAUGGGAUAGUCAAAAAAAAAAAAAUGGUCUUUAGUUUUGCAAAGUGCUAUACAUUUUUACCUUUUUUAUGGAUUGAGAACUCUUCGGCUUUUGAUUUUUUAAAAUUAAGUAAAUUUGGCCAAACAAAUUAAAAAUUUUACCAAAUGGAUUGAUAAUUAUAUCAAAUUUAAUAGAUUAAGAUAUUUUAUAGUGAAUAAAUUUAAUUAAGUAAGUGCUGCUAGCUAAUUAUGUGAUGGAACUUGUUAAAUUUUUUAACUUAAUUAACUAUAAAAAUUAAAAUUAUUAAGCACUGAAAUUCAGUAUAGUGCACUAAAUUUAGCUAAAUUGACAAAGUGAGAAUUAAUGUUAUGUUAGACAUGAUUAAAAUAUAUAUUAGGAGAAAUUUUGGCUGAAUUUGAAAUGAGUUGAAAUCAAUUUUGAUUGAAACAGAGUCUCAGAAGAAAUGAAAAGUUGGCUUCCCGGACUUUCAAGACGCUCAAGUAUUAUUUCCGCCGCCUGAAAUAUUUCAGCAGUUGAGCACCCUAUUCAAGCGGACGCUUUACCCGAGAGCAAGAUUUCUCAAACAGAUAAACAUUUGAGCAUCCAAAUUGUCCUACAGGCAUCUAAAAUCUUCCAAACUGCUCCUGUAGGUGCGCGGUUCCACUUCCAAACAAUCAAGCCCAGAAGAGGGGUCACUUGUCUCGUUAAUUAAUAGGGCACCCAGUUUUUCUUGCGUCCGUCUGAAAACAGUAUUGGGCGGAUGAGCGCACGGGCGCUUAGACCAACUUCCGGAUACUGAACCUAAGACUUUAGAGCUAUGCCCGAAAGAUUGGACGGACGGGUGCUUGAAAUCUGGUCCAAAGGCAGCAGUUCGUUAAUUACAAAUACGAAUGAUUGGAGGAUUUGAAUGCAGUUGUUGUUGGAAAAUAAUACAAAUCUUAUCAUGUUAGUGGCCCUAUUAUUGUACAAAUAGUGUGUGCAAGUAGUGGGUUAAGAUCAUGUAGAUAGUGGAUAAAUGCAUGCUUUAAUUUGUGUAAGUAGUGAGUAAUUAAUGUUGUGGAGUUCAUGGUAGCUAGUUUCAAGGAGCACAUGUGUAGUGGAUGUAGUGGAGAACAUGUAUGGUUAGGUUUUCUUAAACUUCAAGUUUCUUAUUCUAUUUAAGUCCUUUAAUUGUAAACCUUUUGUAAUCAAGUUUUUGAAUGAAAGUGUUUAAUUUUUCUUCCACUUAAUUGCUAUAGUAAAGUGUAUUAGCAAAGCUUAAAUUACUUUGUGCCACUUUCAUCUACAGUUGUAACACUUAUAAAUACCCCUUCAUAUGCGACACUCCUUUCUCACCAUUUUUUGUUUUCCGUAUCUCUCAUUUUCUCUAUACUUAGUUAUUUCUAAAAGAGAAAAGAAAACCCUAGGCCAUUAUUGUUGCGAUUUUGGAGCUCGAUUUCUUAACAAACUUGGAUAAGGACAUGAGCACUCGGAAGAAACUCUAGUAGGAGGAGGAGACAACCUUUCCGAGCCCCAUUUCUCUUGUUUGGAGAAAUACAUGUCACAGGUGGGGUAGAGUUUUUAGGGUUUAAAUUUAGAAAUUUUUUCGAAUGAGGGUUUUGAAAGAUCUAACUUGAUUAGAAUUUCUUCUUUACAAUUUCUCGGGGGCCUCAAGAGCUUAAGAAAUAUUUUCAAGGAAUUUACAAGGAAAUGUAGAACAUAUCACCUAAAUAGAUUUAAUCUCUCUUUGUCUAAAGUAUUCUUAUUUCAAUGUUUAUAGCCUAAGCUUCCAUAUUCUCUUGAGUAAUAUUAGGUCAAUCUUAAUGGAUUUGCAUGAGACAAGCUUUGAAAAAUUCAUGAGGGUUUAUGAGCACAUAACCAAACAUGUAGAUAUUUUUCAUCUUCUUUAUAUGUCAUAUAUACCACCUAAAUAGCAUGCUUUAUGAGGAUAUAUGGACUUGGUUGACAUUGGUACUAUACAUUGGAGAAAACUUAUGGCGACGAACCUAGUGACAAAUAGGUAAAUUAUGAGAGCUUGUUGUAAAUGACAUGACAAUAUAUGGAUAAACUCAUGGGAUUAACCCUAGCGUUAAUUGAAACCUAGGGAGUAAACUAAGAGAAAAGUAAUGGCGAAUGUGGAUAAUGGCUUUUAGCAACGAAUAGAUGUUGUUGCAAUUAAGUUUAUUUAGCAACGAUAUUAUCCAACCGACCAUCCUUAGAGUAAGUGGCAAAGGAUUUUGUGGUUGGUACCCGAGACCCAAGUUCGAAUCCUAGUUGAUUCACAUUUCCAGCUAAGUUUAUUUCUAAAUGAAAUAAACGAAGCGGAUAGCGUGCUACCUAUCUCUCAAAAAAUAUUAUCCAUAUAUAUAUUUAGUAAUAAUAAUUCGGCAAAUAACGACCAUUUAUUUUGCUGCUACUAGUACAUUUAUAGUGACAAAUCUCUUAUCGUCGCUAAAUAUAGCAGCUAAUAGCGACCAACUACUUUACUUCAUUGCUAAACAGUUUCGGCGAUUGGGAGGUAGCAAUGAAGUAGCGGCAAAGAUAUUUUUGUCGCUAAAUAGCAAUAGUGACGAUCCUAUAGCAACAAACAAUGUUGGUCGCAAAAGGCCUAAUUAAAUAGAUUUUUAUUAGUGAAUUAUAUGACUCGCCUCAACUUGCUAAAAACUCAUCGUAAAAUUGAUUUUUAUUAUUGAGACUUCCAAUCAACUUCAAAGAAAAGGUUCUAACCAUGUUAGAACUAUUGAAACCUUCUACUCAAAAAAUCCUAAAAAAUUUCAUUCACAACCUUCAAAAACUAAUCUAGCAUAGUGAGGAAUGGUAGGAAGAGCAUAAACCUUCUUUAAAAGGGACAAAAAUGAUGUUUUAGAGUUUUGAAGGAGAGUAAAGGAGAAGAGAGGCCAACUUGAAAUAAAUUUUUGAUUGGUAAGAAUUUAAAAUAAAUUUUUGGUGGAUACAACUAUAUAUUGAAAGUGGUGUUUUACACUCACUCGGUCUAAAAGAGACAUAAGUAGUACGGUAAUAAAUAAAUAAAAUUACUACUACAAUAAAGGAAAGCACCACAACACAUACAACUACUAUGUCUUUAUCAAGAUAGCAUUGCACCAAGGUAAUAUGCUGCUUGUUAAUGUCCAAGGAAAAAUCUACUCGUGACGGUUCUUUUUUUUGUAGUGGACUCAAUAGUUCAGUUCCAAUUCCUUUAUAAAUACCUUAUAGAGAGUCGAUGGUGAUCGAACUUCUUUCCAAUCGAUAAGCACUAGGUUUUGAGGAUAAUAGUACUCCCCCGUGUUAAGGUAUAAGGGAGUUGAAGGGGAUCAAGCUUUUCCCAUGUUGACUUUACUACAAUAAUUAAUAUUGUGAUACGAAGAUAAAAUAUUUAGCAAUGAAGUGUUCUUUUAUCGUUAAAAACAAAUAAUUAACAACUAAAUUUAAUGUCCAUCUCAAAAUGAGAAAAAGUAAAAAUUUUGUAGAAUGUCAUUAGCGACAAAGUAAUUUUAUUGCUAAAGCUUAGUCGCCAUCAGUUUGAAGGGGAUAAUUUUUUUUGCACCAGGUCUAUCUUAGUGACAAGAUAUAAUUAACAGUGACGAAAUUUGACGUCACUUUAGGGUUCAAUAAUUAGCGACCAAAUAUGUGAUUGCUAGAAUAAUACUUUGAAGGCUGCGUUUGGUUCAAGUAUAAAUAAGAACUGCUUAUUUCAGGAAUAGAUACAAGUUCAGAUAUAAAUAGGAAUUAAACCAAUUUUGCGUUUGAAUGAAAAUUGGGUUGCUUCUAGGAAUAAGGUAAAUAGUAUUUAGAUAGUUAGAUUGGAACAAGAGAAAUAAAAAGUUAUAAUUUUAAAUUAUUUUAUCUGAUUAAUUAACAUCAAAAUAUUACCUAACAUAAUUUAAGAAAUUAAUAAAUUUAUUAGCUAUUAAUAUUAUAAAAGAUAAUAAAAAUAUAUUAUUUAAUUAAUUAUAAAAAUAAUUUAAUUUUUUAAUUAGUUAGUAAAUUAUUUUAGUUAGAUAAGCUAGUAAAAAAAAUUAAUUAGAUUAAUAGAAAUAUUAAUUGUUGAUCAAUAUAAAUAUUAGUUUAUAGAUAAACACAUUAAAUUAUUAAUAAUUAAUUAUAAAUAAUUAAUUAAUUAGUUAAUUAUUUUAUUAUUUAAGAAAUAAAUAAUGAUUUAAAUAUGUUAAUUAGAUUAAUUAAUAUUUUAAUACUAUAAUUAAAAUUAAAUUUAAACUUCAAUUAACCUUGUUCCCACCUCGGAACAAGCUUGUUCCAGAAAAAAAGUGGAACAACCGUUCCAGCCUUAUACCAGUUUAUUUUAGGUAUUUUAGGAAUCCGAGAAUUACUAUUUUCAGGUACCAAAUACAGUAUUUGAGAACAAAGAGAGGAAUAAGGGCUUAUUCCUCUAUUGUUUCCAAACCAAACACUGCCUUAGCAACAUAUUGAUAUUUGGUUGUUAAUACAUUAAAGAUCUGCUGCCAAUUAUUUUUGUUGCUUUAUGUAUAUAAAAUAAAUUGAGCUAUUCUAUUUGGUUGAAUUAAAAAUUUUAUUUAAUUUAACGAUUAUAUUAUUUAUUAGUAUUUAAUUCUUCUAAUUUUAUUUAUUAAAAUUUAUGCAAUAUUGAUAAUUUAAUAUAAUUUUGAUCUCGUAUGAUUGUUUCGAAUUUCAACUUGAUUUUUUCGUUGGUAGAUUCUCAAUUUUUUUAUCUAAGUUAUUUACUUAGUUUAAUUUUGAAUAUUAAUAAAUUUAAUGACUCCAUUUGCUAUUAGCUUUUAAUUGGUUUAAUUUUAUUUAACAAGAAAUUAAAAAACUGUUAAAGUUGGCGAAAUCAUUAAUUAAUUAUGAAAAUACUAAAAAUUUUGUUGGACUGAAAUUACUUAAUUCUAAACAGUAAAAAAUAAAAAAAUGGAAAAACAUAAAAAGAGGAUGUUUUUAAAAUAAACUAUAAGUUGGAGGGGCCUAAAAGCAAUUUUCCAAAAAAAAAAAAUACCCAUCCUGCCUGCAGCGGUCUCCUCCAUGCUGUUCCAACUCCAGAAGCUUCUACCUGUUUUUUUUUUUUUUUUCUUUACUUCUUUUUACUUUUCUUCUCUCUCAUUAAAAAAAAAAAAAAAUCGCCCAUUUGCCCUCUUUAUUCUUCCAUCUGUACGAGACAACUCUCAGAAACCCUCUUCUAAUGAUAAUGAAAUUUUUAUGACCGAGUAAAAAAUUUGUGUUAAGAUAUUUGGAACUAUAUGAAUUCAUAAGUUGGUGAGAUCAUAAUUCAAAGCCUAAGUCAUGAUACAAAGUUUUAAAAAUUCAAUCCUCACCAAGGAUUAAAGUGAAGUGGCACGGGGUGGUGCCGGAAACUUACCGGCACGAUACGGCAUGGUGCGUACCGGAUCGUGCCGAUACGUGCCGAUCAAAAAAUUAUAUGUAUGCGGAUACGUAAUAGUAUGAAAUGUUUAUUUUCUUUAGCAACAAAAUAUGCAAAUUAUUUAUUAUAUAUUUUUAUCAAUUUUUUUAAUUUUGUUGAGAAAAUUAUUUAUUAUAAUUUAAAGAAUAGAAGGUUUUGAUUUGUGCCAUUGGCACGAAGGCAGUAUCGUGUCGAUAUCUUACUGGCACGAUACGGCACGGUGGAUACGAUCCGUGCCGUUGGGCACUUUAAUCCUUGAUCCUCACAAUUGUAAGAAGAAUUGACAUAAAGACUCUUCUAAAGACUUUGCAGUCUCAUAGUGAGACUCAACAAUCUCAAAUUAAAACUCAACGUAAAGAGAUUGAAUGGUUAAACAGUAUCUAUCUAUUCCUAUACAUUAUUUCUCAUGAAAUUUGCCACGUGGCAAUUCCUCCUUCACCCCCUCGCCACACUUUUUGAUGCUUCGCCUUCCCACCUUAUCUCUACCUAAUGCUUCGUCUUUCCACCCGCCACUUUCUAAUUAAUGUAUUCAUAUGAUUUAUUUUUAUCUAAAUAAAUUAUUUUUAAAAAAAAGAAUAUCUAUUUGCUGUUGUAACUUUUAUUACUGUUAUGUAUAAUUUAUUUGCUGUUAUAACUUUUGUCACAUUUGUAUAUAUCUGUUUUAUAUUUUCUAUUUGUAUUUAUUGAUGUCUCAUUACAAGUUGAAAAAUUUUAAAAUUUAAACUUUGUCAAUCUUUUAUCUUCUAUAAUAUUAGCCCGUCGCAAUACACGGGUAACUUCACUAGCGGAGAGUUCAGAUGCCACCAAAAAAUGAUGAUUUUAAAACAUCUACUAUGUGGUAAGUAAGAUCGUUUGGAGUAGUUUUUCAAAUUUAAUUUUUCUUAUAUUAUUUGUUGGUCAAAUUUUAUAUACGUAUAAAAAUAAAGAAUACACAUUAACAAUUGUCAAAUAAAAUAUUUUUUUACAUCAAAAGGACCUUUUUUUUGCUUACACAAAAAAUAACGAAGUCAAUAAAUCCAAGUACUUAUUUAUCCUGCUUGUAUCAUCAUUAUUUUACUAUCUUGUAAAGUUAUUUAAUAUAUUAUUUAUACAAAAUAAUAAUUAACUAGAUAAAAUUUAUUAUCUUAUUAUUAAUAAUAGUUUUAUAUUUUUUCACAGCAUUUGGUUCAAGGAUAAAGGGGGAUAAGAGCCCCUUCAUACCCAAACACAAAUUUUAUAUCCGAAAGUAGUAGUUCUCGGAUACCUGAAAAUAAAUUUGUAUAACUCGGUAUAAGUCUCGAAUUGCUGCUCUACCCCUUUUUCCGGAAUAAGCGGGGACAAAAUUAAUUAAACUCUAAAUAUAAUUUUAAUUAUAGUAUUAAAUUAUUAAUUAAUCUAAUUAAUAUAUUUAAAUUCUUAUUUAAUCUAAUUAAUAUAUUUAAAUUAUUACUUAAUCUAAUUAAUAUUAAAUUAUUAUUUUAGGAUAAUCCAUUAAAGGUGGGAAUUCCCAUUUGAGAAUUCCCACCCCUAUUUUUAUUUUUAAAAUUUAAAAUUUAAAAUUAAAAAAAUAAAAAUUUAAAAUUUAAAAUUUUUUAGAUUUAUAAUUUUUAAUCUCAAAAAUUAAAGUUUAUAAGUUUAAAAUUUUCAAAUUUAAAAUGUAAUAUUUAUAAUUUUUAAUUUAAAUUUGACCUUAAAUUUAAAAUUUAAAAUUUGAGAUUUUAAUUUUGAAUUUUAAAAUUUAAAAGUUAAAAUUUAAAAUUUAAAAAUAUAAAUAUAAAAUUUAAAAAUAUAAAUAUAAAAUUUAAAAAUAUAAAUUCAAAUAUAAUGAGAGGGGUAAUAUCAUUAUUUUCAAUUUAUAACUACCAACUAUUCUUUUUAUUUUAUCUUAUUUAUGAAAACUUUAUUUUUCUUAUUUUCGGAAACAACUCAAUUUUUAUCCAAACACAAAAUUAGUCUAGUUUAUAUCUGAACUUGUAUCUAUCCAUAGAAUAAGUAAUUCUUACUUACACCCAAACCAAAUAAUACGUUUGUGUAGAAAUGUGCAAAUGAACUAUACAGGAGCAAACCAAGUAUAAAAAUUUCUUCGGAUAGAGUUUUGCAUUUUGCUUGAAAAAUAUUGGUGAACAUAUAUUAGAAUGGUUAAUCAAGAUUUGAAUAUUUUUACUAUUCGAGAAAACUAUUUGGUUGGUUAUAUUUUAUUUAUUUGGAUUUGCGCAGAUUUUUUGAAUUGAAAUAUUUUGGAUUGUUUGUUGAAAUAUGAGAAAUUGUCAUAAAAAUAGCAGAUGAUAUUGUUAUUUGAUGAUAAAUGAAACUCUGACCAAACUGUUUGUCACUAAUAUAUAAUCAAAUGUAUAUUUGAUAGAUGAAAUUGCAACCGUAUUAUUGGACGAUGUAAAAUAUUAGUUAAAUUAAUAAAGCUAUUACUGAAUUAGCAACAAAUUAUUCUCGUUGAUAUACUAUGAUAAAAAAUAAAAAAAAAUUUAAAAUAAUAGCUUUUAGCGACGAAUAGAAUUUGUUGCAAUUAGGUUAUAUUUAGCAAUAAAAAUACACUAUCCAAAUGUAUAUUUGCCAACAAAUUGUCGGAGAAUUGGCGACCAUUUAUUUUAUCGCUAUGAGUAUAUUUACAGUGACAAAUCUUUUGUUGUCGCUAAAUGUAGCAGCCAACAGCAACCACCUGCUUUACUUUAUCGCUAAAAUGUUUUUCCUAUAGUGACGAAGCAGCAACAAAUUUUUUGUUUGCCGCUAAGGGCAUGUUUGUUUCAACGUAAGUGGGUUUUUGGUUGAACUAGAAUUCAGAUAAAAAUUACUUCACUUCCGCUCUUUGUUUCUAGCUCUAGAAGUAAAAUUCUAUCAGUUCUGAUGUUUAUUUAGUAGUAAAUAGACGACGUAGACAGUGUAGUUUUAAUUCCAUUUCCGCUGUUUGUUUUAACGAAAACUAUUUAAUCCGUACACGGUAAACUUACCUCCUAAUAAGUGAUAUUACUUUUUAUUUUGUAACUUAGUAAAUAUAAAUUAUAAUAAAUAAAAAAUAAUAUAAUUAUAAAAUAAAAUUGGCCUUUUUGCAUAAAAAAUCCAAUUAUUUUGAUUUUUGCAAAACCGGGCCACCUUUUUCGUUUUUGCAGAUUCGGUCCACUUUUUCAGCAAAUUGACCAAAAUACCCUUAUAUAUUUUUCUCUCUCCUCUUUUUUUUCUCUCUCCUUUCUUCGAUCCCGUCGCCGCGGACCCCCAGCCCUAGACCGACUCCCCCUCUCCUCGCCUCCUCGUCCUCGGCCCCACCCCUACCGCCUCCGCCGCCGCCGCCGCCAACGUAGGAGGAGCGACGGCGUUGGUGGAGGAGAAUGAGCGGCUGCGGCAGAGCAACGCUGCGGUGGUGGCGGAGCUGGCCCCGAGCUUCGCGGCUUCUCCGCUCGUCGCAGCCCGCGGCCUGCGCGGCCUCGUCGACCAGCGCAGGUCGGCGGCCGCCAAGCCCGAGCUCAACAGCGCGAGCACCACCUCGAGCAGCUCCCUCACCAUCGCCGACGAGCUUUCGACACCACCGCCGCGAGAUGGGGCUGCUGGGGCUGUCGCUGUACGCCGACUCUACCGAGCGCUACGGCGUGUAAAACGUCUCCUCAUCCGACGACACCAUCGGCGCCGCCGCGCGCCGCCGAGGCGGCGGCGGAAGGGGCAGCCCCGUCAGCGGAGAUCGAGGGAGUCGAGGUCCUCCGCAGGAGGAAGAAGAAGAAAAUGAAAAAGACCCGCGCGUAUUCUUCUUCGUCGGCAAAUGGUGUAAUGGUGUAAUGGUGUAAUGGCGUAAAUGGUGUAAUGGUGUAAUGGUAUAAUGGUAAUGGUGUAAUGGUGUAAUGGUAAUGGUGUAAUGGUAAUGGUGUAAUGGUGUAAUAGUAAUGGUGUAAUAGUGUAAUGGUAAGGUGUAAUGGUGUAAUGGUAAUGGUGUAAUGGUGUAAUUCUAAUCGCUCUUUUUUUUUCUCGCCGCCCGCCGUUCUCCUUCGAAUCCUCCUGCGCCGUCCCCAUCACCGUCGCGUUCCCGAACCGCACCCUCCUCGCUCCCCCCGCGACCCGCACCUUCCUCGCUUCCCCCGGCGACCCGCACCCCUCGACAGCCCACGGCGCCUCCUCCGCCGCCGGCCGGCAGGGGUCGCUCCGGCCGGCGGCGGAGGAGCGGCCGUGGGGGCGUCGAGGGGUGCAGGUCGCCGGGGGGAGCGAGGAGGAUGUUUGGAAGGGGGGGAGAACGCGCGGUACGCGAAGCACACCCCGCCUCGUGACCGAUCGAGAGGAGACCUCUCUCUCUCUCUCCAUUCUUUUCUUUUAUAUAGAAUAUAUAUAAUAAUAUAUAUAUUUUUUAUAUAUUUUAAAAAAACAUUUUAUUUUAAUAAUAGAUUAUUUAUUAUAUAAUAUUUUAUAAUAUAAAUAUUAUUUAUAAACACUAAUAAUUUAUUUUAUAGUAUUAAAUAUAUACUAUUAUAUAUUAUAUUACAUAUUAAUGCAUAAUAUAUUUUAAAUAUAUUUUGUUUAUAAAUAUAAAUUAUAAUACUAAUAUAUGUAAUAUGAUAAUUAUUAUAUAUAAAUAAUAUAUAUAAUAAGAAAAAAUAUAUAUAAUAACUUUUAUUUAUAAAUUUUUUUUUUCUUUCAACCAAACAACAAUAAAGAAAAACUAAUUAUAUAUUUUUAUUUAUAAAAAUUAUAUUUUUUCAUAUAGCAUUAUAUGCAGACUAUUACAUAUAUUAUAUUAAAUACUUAUAAAUUUAUCAUAUUAUAUAAUUUUAAUAUAUUUAAUUUAUAAAUAUAAAUUAUAAUAGUAAUAUAUAUAGCCUAAUAAUUAACAUACAUUAUAAAUAAAUAAUAUAUAGAAUACAUAAUAAUAAUAAUAAUAAUAAUAAUAAUAAAAAAAUGUACUUUUCUUUUCAACCAUUCAACCAAACAACUAUAACUGAAAACUAAUUUUCUUUUUCUACAAAUCAAACACUGUAAACCGUAAAACAAAUCUUUCACGAAAAAAAAAUUUUCACCAGUUUUACGUAGAACCAAGCAGCCCCUUAGCACUUCCCAACCGGAGAAUUUGGGUUUGAUUGCACCAUUGCUCCCCAAUGUUUGUUUCUUUUGCCACCUUGGUCCCUAACCUAUAACUUUCUUUGUUAUUGGGUUCCUAACAUAUAUAUUUUGUUUUAGUUGUUUCAACUAUUCAAAUUUUUGUUCGUUUCGGCGAAAUAAGCCAGAAGAACCUACUAAAGUCCUACCUAAUCAUAUAGAUCUAUGAUCAUAGUCUGCUGAUAUACUCUGAUCAGUUUUGGUACUAAUCUUUUUAUAGAUUUUUAAAAUAAUUUUGUGGCACAUUCGAUUCUGUGUUCAAUACACCGGAUGCUCAAAAAAAUACAGCGUGCAUAAUAUGCGAGAUCAAGAUGAUCGCCGGUGCAUGCGGAAAAUAACACCGGAGAUGGCGAGAUUGGGCUUCCAGGACCGCAAGUGAACAAACUUUAUAAAGUUACAGACCAAUGAUGCAAUGAACUUUAAAAGUUAAGAAUCUAAUUGCGAAAAAAAAAAAAAAAAAAAAAAAAAAAAAAAAGCGUGUGAACCAAAAUAAAAAUUAUAAAGGUUGGGACCAUUAGUGCAAUUAACCCAAAUAUCAAGAGGGGCAAGUCACACGUGUGGGAAAAGAAACUCUUGACUCACUUUUAUUACUUUUAUAAGAAAAGAAAGCUACUUUAUUACUUUCUUUAGCAUAAAAAAUUGAAACUUUCUCAAACUUUCUAGAAGCCUAGGGUUUUGGUCAUUUUUUAGAAGAUUUCUAGAAGGUAAAAAUGCAUGGAGACCCCCUCAACUAUACUGCCUUCUGAAGCACACCACUCAACCUUUUUUUUCUCACCUUUUAUUUACACCCUCUUUUCAUUUCUAAUUUGCUGGGAAAAAUUAUUCUUGUUAUUAAAGUUAAAAAAUUAUAUCUUUUCACGUAAUUUAAAUUUAAAAAAGUACAAGCUGGAACUAAAUAAAAGGGUUAAAUAUGCUACAACCAUCGCACCUUUGGCCACUCUUUUCACGUAAAUUAGCUUCCAAAAUCUUUUUUUUUUUUUACCAUCCAAAUUUUUUAAAAAUUUAUAGUCAACCAUUAGAUUCAUAUAUUAUCAAUUUAAAAUAAUUAAUAUUAGUUAACUGAACGAGAAAUAAUAAAUAAUAUAUUUUAGCAAAAUAGGUAGGUCUUUUUUAUAUUACUUUAGCGGAUAAAAUUAAUCAUAAUUAUUGUACUUCAUUCGUAAAAAACUCAUUUUUAUAAUGUAAAAUUGAAUUUGAAGACCAAAAAAGAUAUUUAAUAUUGUCAGCAUGUAUCCACUAUAAGCUUUUGAUCAUUUGGCUAAUCAUAAAUUUAGAUGUCCAACUGUGAAAUUUUAAAUAUUUAGAAUUGUUAAAAGUUUAGGUAGCUAUUUGUAAACCGACGAAAGUUCGGGUAGCUCUCGACUAUUUCACCUAUUAAACAAAAAAGUUUAGGCCUCUUUUUGCGUGAUUGUCGUUUUUAUAUAUUUUUUCAACACUAAUUUAUAUAAUUAGUGUACCAGUGGAAAUUUUUUUGGGGGUAUAUUUCAAAUUGCCCCUUGUAUUUUAGCUUAUUUUUAUUUAUCAUUCUGUAAUUUAAAAAAUUUUACUUUGCCUCCGUAUAUUUUAGCUUAUUUUCACUUUGCUACAUCAUAGUUUAAAAUAUUUCACUUUGCCCUCCUGUAGUUUAACAUAUUUUCACUUUGUCAUCAUGUGAUAUUUUAAAAAUUCUCAAUUUGCCACUCUAUUUGAUAUACAAAUUUUUGGUGAAAUAAAAUCUAAACUACAAGGGGCAAAGUAAAACUUCUUAAACCACAGAAUGACAAAAGUGAAAAUAAAUAGAACCACCCGAGGUAAUUUGAAAUUUAUCAUUUUUAUUAUUAUUGUCAUGAUUAAUUAACUUAUAAAUACUGAAUAAUAUAUUUUUUUAGAAAAAAAUAAUAUACUAUCUGUUUCGUGCAUUUUUUUAGAAAUAAACUAUCUUAUCUGAAAAUAUAAACGAACAGCAUAAAAAAAAGAUUUUCAAAGAAAAAAAAAAAUUCAUACGAAAUCACUUUUCAGUUUUACAUCAGUUUAGUUUUAAAGAAAACUGGCUUUUUGAAAAUUAAUUUUUCAAAUUCCAUGAAAAAAUUAAUGUUUUCAUUUUCUUUUUUUUUUUUAAGAAAACAAAAUUGCUAAUUUUCCGUAAAAUUUUGAAAGAAGCUUUCGAAAAAUACUGUUUUUUUUUUUCAAACCAAACGAACGAAAACUAUAAAAGAGAUUUUUCAUGAAAACUUUUUUUAAAAAAAAAUAUAUGUUUUUUCGAGGAACCAAAUAGUUCCUUGUCAUUUCCGCUAAGAUAAACAAAAUAAAAAUAAAUUUGAAAAUAAAAGAAAAUUAGUUUCAACUUUUUUUUUAUUAUUAUCAAAACAAAUAUCUUAAAUGUAGAAAUUUCAAGCUAUUCAUUUUAUUCUUCCCCAUUAUUUCAGAAUUGCCUUUCCGAAUGAGAAAUAUAGAUGAGGGGUCUCCAUUCAAUUUUUGAGCUUUUUUUUAGUUUUAAAUUUUAGAAAUAAUUACCUAUAUACCCCUCAAAACUUUAAAAAUAUCUCAUUUGUCCUUACUUUUUUUCUUUCCAAUAUACUACUCAUAUGUUUCUCCGUUAUUCCAAAAUAUCCCCCCAGUUACCACCCAUUAAGUUAAUUUAGAUUAAAUAUGAGUUAAAUAUCUACCAAAGUUUUAAAAAAAUUAAAAUACCUCUUUUGCCCUUAACUUAAGAGCAAAUAGAAAACGUUGGUAAUAGCAGAAAAAUAUAUUUGAAAAUACCAAAAGUUAAAAUACUUUUUAUACCCCUAAUUUAAGGGUAAAUAAGAAAAGUUUGUGAUCUAAACUUAAGGACAAAUAAGAAAUAUUGGUGAUAAUAGAAAGGUAUAUUUAAAAGGGCAAAAUGAUUACAGCUAUUACUAAUAUAAUUUAACUCUAGAAAUAUAUUGAAAAUAAGUUGGAACGUAAAAAAAAAAUAUUUUUAAUAUUAGUUUUCUAAAAGAAAUAAUCAGAAAGUCGAAAACUUUCUAAAAAUAUAUAAGCAAUUGUACCUAAAAUUUAUGGAUAAUUGCCUAUAUACCGCUCAUAUGCUUGAAAAUAUCCGAUUUACUCCUACUUUUUUUUUUCUUUCUAAAAUACCCUUUAUAUGUUCCACCGUUAUUGCAAAAUACCCCCGCAGUUAUUUUUUGUUAAGUUAACUUGAGUUAAACGUAAGUUAAAUAUCUACCACAGUUAAAAAAAAUUAAAAUGCCAAUUUUGCCCUUAACUUAAGGACAAAUAAGAAAUGCUGAUGACGGUAGAGGGGUAUAUUGAAAAAAACCAAAAGCCAAAAUACUUUUUGUGCCCCUGACUUUAAGGCAAAUAAGAAAGUAUCGUGGAAGAGUAUAUUUGAAAGGAAAAAAUAGUAAUUUUACGAAGAUAAUAGAGUUAAUUAACAGAUUUUAAUUCUAGGAGUAUAUUAGAAAUAGGUUGAAAUAUAAAAAAGAUAUUUUCAAUAUUAGCCUUCUAAGAGGGGUAAAUCUAAAAAUCGAAAAUUUUUCAGAGAUAUAUAAGCAAUUACUCCUAAAUUUUAAAUGUGGGAUAAAUUUUAGAUGUGGGAUAAGAGGGCGAAACCGACCCUGCAAAAUGAACGUGCUUCACGUGACUGUACACACGCUGCGCAUCAGCGCCAACUUUUGUUGUCCGAGUUUUACAUAUAAAAAAAAAAAGUAAAUUUCAAAUAUCAUUCUUAUAAUUUUAUAUUUUUUUAUUUUAAUAUUUUAUAAUUUAAAAUAUAUUAUUUUAAUAUUCUGUAAUUUUAUUUUUCACUUUCUAUCAGCACUUUCAUUAACUUUCUGUUAAAUUAUAUACAAAAAACUUCAGAUAUCCUACCAUUGAUUUAUUGAAUAUUAACUUUAAUAUCCUGUGAUUUAUCGAAUUUUCACUUUAGUACUAUGUGGUUAUAACUCUGUCACUGAUUUAAUAAAAAAAUUAACGGAGAAAACAACAAAAAGAAAAAUAAAAUAAAAUCAUAUAAUACUAAAGUGAUACAUUUUAAACUACAGUAUACUAAAGUAAUUAAGCACGAAACUACAAAGGCCGCCGUAUUUGAAGUUUCCCCUAAAAAGAAUUUGAAAAAAAGAAAAACAUGUAUAAAGAGACUUCAUGUACUUCUGCGAGAAAGAGAAAAACGAAUUAGAAGCAAAAAAAAAAAAUAAAAUAAAAUAAAAAAUAAAAAAAUAAAAAAAUAAAAAAAUCAGUUUAUUAAAAAUUAGAAUUGUAUAUAUAAAAUUUAAAAUAGUAGUCUAUUUUUAUAAAAAUACAACACUAGUGAAUGAUUUAUACAAAUUGGCCAUUUCAUUUAAAGGGUUAAUUGCAUCCAGGUCCCGCAAAUAUAAUGAAUUACAAAUAUAUCUCUAGAAAGUUCAACUUUCAUAAGUUAUUCUGCAAAAGUCCUAAUAUUUUAAGAUAUGUUCCUUUGAUUUGUUAUCAUUAGAGAACUGCUAAAAGACUGUUUAUAUUUUUUCAAAUUUGCCAUCACAAAUAUAUCCCUCCAAAAAUUAUAACAGUAUAAUAUAAGAGAAGUAAAAAUGUCAAAAAUUAAUCCGAAUAAAAUAUUUAACUUAUGGUUAAUUAAACUUUUCUAACGGAUUUUAACAGCAAGAAUAUAUCUGAAAAUAUUAGAAUUUUUACAAAAAUAACUUAUAAAAGUUAAACUCUAUAAGGAUAUAUUUAUAAUUUAUUAUGUUUACAAAAAUCUGUAUGCAAUUGACCCUUACUUAAAUAGCAGCAAACCAACCAGAAGAAGCACUCUAAUAAGUGCUUUUUUUUCACUCAUAGAAGAGCUUCUAUUUUUACUUUUGGUUGCACCAGUCCCAACUGUAUGUUUGGCAUAUAAAAGUUUUGCAGAAAACGAAAAUGAAAUUCUAAGUUACACUUCUUAUGUCAUUCUUGGUUCAACUUCUUUUGAGAGUAGAUAGUAUGCUACAUUUAUUUUUUUAAAAAAUAAACUUAAUCGAAAAUAUAAAUCAACUAGAAUUCAAACUUGAAAUCUCAAAUACCAACUAUCGGCCGCUUCUAUUUUUUUUCUUGGGAACUCCACAUAAGUUACAGCACUGGGAACUGCUCUACUUGCACCACUAGUUCCCGAACUUAAUUAAAGAUAAAUUUCAUUUUAGUCCCCGAACUUUUACGUUUGACAUUUCACACAUUAAACUCUCCGUGAGCAUUUCAUUUUUACUCCCUAUCCUUCUUCACAAUCAGAGAAAAAAGUAUUGGCUACACCUGGUGUACCUCCCUACCUUUGUAUACCAUGUAUCAAUCAUUUAUUAAUCUCCGAUCUCGUAUUCAAAUUCUACUAUUGAAAAUUAAAACAUUGAGUUAAAAUACGCAACAAAUAGAAACCGGGUGGAUGCACGGCGCACUGACAUAGAGAUGAACUAGGUGAAUGCACAAAAAUCCUUUUUUAAAGGGGGGACCAAAGUGAAAUAAAUUCGAAAAUUUGGGAACUUAAAUAAAAUCAGAGUAAGAGUUCAGGGACUAGUGCAAUUUACCCAACUCAGCUCUUACAAAUCCAGCUUUCUAAGGCUGGUGCCAUUUUGACGCAAAAAAGUGGAGUUUUAAAAAUUUAUAGAGUCGCUUUUGAUAAUGCCCCAUUUAAAUGGUAACACUUAUUAGACUUAUAACAAGAUCGAUUAAGACCAACAUUUAAGUGGUAAAUAAAAAUUUUGAAGGGUAUGUACAUAAAAAAAAAAAAAAGGUUUGAUAUCAAUAUCUAAAGAAACUUUUGCUGGUGUUGAUUGCAUGCAACUAUACAAAAGGCCAACUCCAUUAUUGAAAUUGCUGUAUCAGAAUCUAACAAUUAGAAUCUAGCCAUCGCCGUUGGAACUGAAAUAUAGCCAACUGCUGUAAAUAAAAUGACCUUCAUAUUAGCCAUAGUUUUAAAGGUAAAUUGCAUUGUUACUUUCUAAACUUUUGACGAAGUUUUACUUUACACCUCAAGUUCCUAAAAUGGAUCACAUCUAACAUCAUAAACUCUAAUAUUUCAUUCAUGUUAUCUCUUCCGCCAGUUUUUCGUCAAACUCCGUUAACCGGAAACUGACGAAAAGGAUAAAACGAAUAAAAUAUUAGAGUUUAGGAUGUUAGAUGUCUAUUUAAAAGUUUAGGAUGUUAAGUGAAACUAGCUAAAAGUUCAAGAGGUAGCAGUGCAAUUUAUCCUAAUAUGUUACUUAUGGAUUGACUACUAACCCUCAAGUUAGUGAUCAUACUUGAUUUUGAAUUUAUAUUUUUUUUUAUCCUAAAAUAAAUCAUACCAUAAUUUAUCCUAUAUUUUAUUGUAAUAAAAUAAAAUCGAAUCUAACUACCUACGAUGCUUGAACACUCUACUGUUCUAGAGUACUCGCUAAUAUGGUUGAUUUACAAUAGGUGUCCUCACUUGGAUAUAGAGAUUUUAAUUCUCAGUUAAUUUUCUGUAUGACUCGUUUGUCCCUUUUAUCUUUAGAAGUAUUGUUUUAGAAAAUACACUUAUUUUCUAUGAAACUAAGCAAUGUAAUUUUAUUGUAGCCUAAAAUAAAAUUUUUGUACUUCAUUUCAGCCAAUUAAAAAUUUUUAAUAUAAAAAUAUAAAAUAAUAUUUUAUAAUACUUUAGAAUAAUGCUUCUAAAGAUAAAAGGGACAAACGAGUACUACAGAAAAUUAACUGAGAAUUAACAUCUCUAUAGCCGAGUGAGAACACCUAUUGUAAAUCAAUCGUAUUAGCGAGUACACGAGGACAGUAGUGUUCGAGCAUCGUAGAUAGUUAGUAUCGCUCUUUAUUUAUAUUUAAGUCACUCUAAUUCAUUUCUUUCGCUUUUAUUUUAUUACAAUAAAAUAUAGGAUAAAUUAUGAUAUGAUUUAUUUUAGGAUAAAAAAUAUAUAUAAAUUCAAAAUCAAUAAUAAUCACUAACUUGAGGGUUAGUAGUCAAUCCAUAAGUAACAUAUUAUAAUAAAAUAAUUUAUAGUCGAGAGUCCUACAGAGUAAAUUGCACUGCUACCUCCUAAACUAUUAGCGAGUUUCACUUAACUCCCCAAACUUUUAAAAUAGACAUUUAACACUCUAAACUCUAAUAUUUCAUUCGUUCUAAUAUUUCAUUUAUUUUACCCCUUCCGUCAAUUUUCAGUUAACGAAGCUUGACGGAAAACUGACGGAAGAGGUAACAUGAAUAAAAUAUUAGAAUUUAGAAUGUUAGAUGUUUAUUUUAGGAGUUCGAGGGGUAAAGUGAAACUUCGCCAAAAGUUCAGGAGAUAACAAUGCAAUUUACCCUAGUUCUAAUUAUAGUGAAUAGAUAAAGAGUAAUAUUAAACAAGACAUAAGCUUACUUGAGUCUCCUUAGGCAUCAUGUUUGUUUUUCAUUUUUCUAAAUAAAAUUUUGUAUAUCAAAAGGGAGUGGAUGGUAAAUUAAUUGCAACUAUUUCAUUUCAUUCGAAGUGAUUAUUUAACAAAAAAAAUAAAAUAAAUUUUUUUAGCCGAAUGCAUUGUAAGGUUAAAAAAAAUCUUUCUUCCAACACAUCAAAUUAUGUAAAAUUAGUAUUUAAAAAAAUAAAAAGAAAAUACGAUACCAAACGAAAUCUUACCUAAUUACUUUUCCAGCAAAAAUAAUAAUAAAAAUAAUAAUUCUUUAAGAUUAAGGUACUUUUAUUUUUUUGAGAGAAUAGGUAACACGCUAUCUGCUUCAUUCAUUGAAUGGAUGAAUUAGGCUAUAGAACUGAGGCAACCAGGAUCUCAAGAAGAAAGUGGAAACUACAUCGAGAGGCGCUCGAAAAAAAAAAAAAAAAAAAAAAAAAAAAAAAAACACGGAUCAUAGUAGAUCUUUCCACGCAGAUAACAGUUGCUUGAGCCUUUGGACGGCUAGUACAGGGUCAAACUGGAUAUCCCAAAAGAUAAGGUUGUUCCUCGCCUUCCAAAUGAUCCACCAACAUGCAACCAAUUCGGCUAGUUCGAUGCUCCAAUUCAGCACCCCAUACCUUCCCUUCCGCCUAUCCCAGGCUACAUGUACAUCGUCACCCAACUCCCCCUCCUGAACAUCCUCGAGGCCCAUCACCAUAAUAAACUUGAUAAAUACACAUCGAGCGAACAGAUGAUCCACUUACUCGUCGUGAGCCCUACACUUGAUACCACUUGUUGGGAAUCCGGUACUCGCCCCGGUACCGGAUCUCGUGAAUCCGCAACCCGCUCCGAUACCGACUGCUGUGGAUCCGGUAUCGAUUGUUGGGAUUUCGCAACGGAAACGUCAAAUCGGAUUUUUACCGUAAACCCGUCUCCUCAGCAAAAGCUGAUACAAUCAUAAAAGAGAGAAAUACCAAAACAGAAAAUAUGCGGGUAAAAUAAGAUUCAUUAAAUAAGAGAAGAUUACACCUGACUCCUCUUCUGCAACAAAGUAGCUACAACCCGAGCUCUCUUUCUUGAAUCUCUCCUACCCUUCUCUCGUCUUUUAUAAACCUAAAGGACAAUCCAUCUACGUGCACCCGUGCACUAGGUGCACAAAAUAACUCUCUCUCUCUUUUUCUCUCUGGUACGACACCCCAAGAGCACUUUUAUCUCCAGUCCACCCUCUCUUUACAAGGUUAUCAGUUGUUAGUAGUCUUUUCUUAAGAACUAACCAGCAAAACACUUUGACCUUGAGUGGUAAACGGAGCCUCCAGAUAGUGUUAGCACGUCCAUCCCUCGUACUCCCAUCACUCAACAUUCUAUAGGUUGAUUUGACUGAAAAUAAACAGUUGCUACCCCAUCUUCGCCCUAUCGAGUCCGAUCCAUGCCUAAUUUUAAAGCUGCUGACCCUUUCUUUGAGCGCAGAUAGUUUGGCACUCAACCCAGGCACCGAUGCCGACUCAUCGCCCAGGAUCCUUUUCCAAUUCCAGUCCUGACUUCCAAAGCAGUCCCUAACCAAGAUUGGUUUGCAUUCCAACACCGUGUAAACCUCUGCAAAGGUCGCUUGAAGUGUGAUAUCCCCACACCAUCUGUCCAACCAAAAAUCAAUAGAGCUCCCAUUGCCCAGCUCGUAUUUGACUCCCCAUUUGAAGAUAGAGUUAGUGGUUAAAACUCCUUUUCACCAUUGAGAGUGAGGCCUGAAGCAUUUUCCCUCCCACAGUGGUCUUCUUCUUUGGUAAUAUAAAGCCCGGAUAAUCUUGGUCCACUGCAAAUGAGGUGCUGUAUGAAAUCUCCACCACCACUUGACCAGAAGUGCCCAAUUCAUGAUAGCCACAUCUAUAAUACCUAACCCACUUGCCGAUUUGCUCAAGCAGACGUUCUUCCAUACAACUAGGCACCCCUUACCUGGAUAAUUGUCUCCGCUGCUCUAGAAGAAAUCUCUGCGUAAGGCUUCAAUACGCUUGAUUACCCAAUUAGGUGCCUUGAAUACGAACAGAAAAUAUAGCGGAAUGUUGGUAAGCACAGAGUUGACCAGGUGUAAUAACUGAGAUUUUUGAUUUAUUGAUUAAACCCUUUUGUUUGACGAUGUUCUUGUGUGUAAUAUAAUUAUAAAUGUACUCGUCAAAUUUCAGGAGAAAACGAGUUAAAACGGAGAAGUUACGCGACCCGGAAGUUCGACUUAAGUGAAUAGUAACUCCGGUUUUCCGGAGAGGCCGCGGAGUAGAGUGGACUUUCGACGCGUAUCGGACUCCGAAUAUAGCCUUCCAAUAGCUCGUUUUCAACCGCUCGACUAUCCUGGACCCAAUGGCACUGACGGAAUUGGAUUUGGAUGCACGGAUUUCGAGAAAAAGGGGUUUAAUGGUUUUUGCAUAUAGUUGUCUAUAUGUGGUUUUUGGUGGAACCUAGGAGGGAUGGUUUUGUCGCAAAUCGGGAAUCUUUUCGGGCGAAACGAGAUGCUAGAUUCGAUGCCUCUGUCGUGCUGAUCGCGCUGGUGCGAUCCGAUCGGAAAUCCGACGGACGGAUCUUCGGGAAUCGCGAAAAGUCCGCGAAGGGGCUGAUUUGAGUAAUCGGAUUAUUCGCGAAAAGGCCCUAUAUUUUAUGCGUCGAAUUGCGAGUUUUCGAACUUAGAGGGACUAUCGUGCGUUAUGCGACUGCUGGUUGAGAGCUGGGAUUAAUUAGAUUCCUUUCGAGGGGGUUUUCCGCGAGUUUUCCGCACCUAUAUAUAGGUUGUCCUAGGGUUUCUUGAGCUAACCCUAACCCUAGAACCCCCCAGCUAACCCCAGCCGCCCCUGCCAUCCCAGCACCUCCCUGCCCUGCCCGUGCUCGCGUUCCGGCCGCCGCCGAGCAGCCCCGGCCGCCGGAAACAGCCUGCAGCUAAUAUUCCUCCUCUCUUGGACCACCUCACCACCGGUUUAAGCUUGGUGCUUGGAGAGGCCUGUUAGCCCGAGCACCACCUUCCCCUGGUCGAGACCUUCCUCAGGCGCCCUCCCCCGCCGGCCCCGGCCACCCCCGAGCGUCGCCGGAGCCGCCGGAAGAGGCUGCAGCCAGCCGGGUCUGCCCAGACCCGAGCCAGGCCGAACUCAGGUUGCGGGCUUUGGGACCGCACUUCUCCUGCGGCCAAUUCCCCCCGUCGACCCCCGGCGACCUCCAGCAACCCGGCCGUCCCCGCGCGCCGCCGGCCGCCGCCAAGGUCUCCCGCCGCCGCUCGGGUCCUGUGCGGGCCGACCUUGGAGCCGCGCCACUCCCGAGCGCCGCCGUUGCCCUCUGAGGUGAGCACCACCUCCCCCUUGGUCUCCGGCACCGGAUCAUCGCCGCCCCGACCUCCCCCGGUCGCCGCCUCGCCGCCGGCAAGCUCCAACCCGAGAGGAAGUGUGCGGGCCCGAUCUCCGCCGCCGCGCCACCGACUGCUGCCCGCCGCCGGCCAGCACCUCCCCCGGACCUCUCCGACCAGCUGCUCCCAUCCCCAGCCGGAGUGCCCGCCGUGCGAUCGCCGGCGGCCUUCCCUAGCUCCCACAGCUCCGGUGAGUAGUUUAUUUUGGUUCCAGCACUGCUGUUUUGCGUUACGGUCACCUUUCCGAUGAUCCGAUGACUCCCUAGCACCUCGGGAGGUGAGCACGGUGAUCGUGGGCUCGUGCUGAACACGAUGCUCACCUCCAUUUAGGCCAAUGACGCCCUGGUUAGUAAGAAAAGGCUGUUUUCCACAGUGUGCGCACUGUUUCGCUGAGGUUCGCGUCGCUCGUGCGCGCGUGGUUGCUGCCGGCAGUGCUCCGAAAGGUGAGCACGGCCUCAGGCAUGCUGAAACCUUGCAGCAAGUGCGAUGGCAACCUCCGUAGAUCCCUGGUUUGCUGGUACGACCCGUUAGAGCCAUGAAAUCACAUAAAAUAAUGUGAUUUCAUGGGCCAUUAGGGAUCCUUUUGCGUUUCGCUUCGUCGUGGCUGCUGUUGGCAGCAGGUUAAGGCUUAAGAUAACCUCUGGACUGAUCGUCCAAGGCCCCAAGCCCUUGCGGAAAUCUAACUGUCAUUUCCGGAGCGUUUUUCGGCGAAAUCCGCCGAUAGAACGCGUGUUCGACUCGGAAUUCAUCCGACGGUGCCUCGUGGUUGAUUGUUGCGUCGCUGAGCCUUGUUGGCUGGUCACCCGUGUCGUCUCGAGGGUUCAGAAACGACGGGUGAGCGACGGUGGAGUUCCGGUACGGUUUUCGGGACUUCCGGCUGGUUCGGAAGUUGCGUUUGAGAAACCGAUUUCAGUGGGGUUAUGAUUUUGGGAUUUGUGUGAGAUUGGUCGUGUUAUUGUGUUCGUGGGUUAGACUCUAACCCGGUGGACCCUUCGUAGGUCCGGUCGCUUCGUCUCCGCCUUCGCGAGACCGUUUCAGCUUUAUACAGGUGGGUACUUCGAUCCGAAGUCGGUACAGUGGUGCACGCUCGGUGAUGUCUUCCUUUACCCUAUCUUUUACAUCGUCUAUUCAUAUUGUUUACUCGUUACAUAUUGAGCCUUGCACCAUACUGUCUUUAUUUACUCUGCCCGGUUGUCCUAUGCGUAGUAUUCUGUGUAGGGGUAGAGUAGAUGGCAUUAGUAUAUACUAUACAUGUGACCUGAUUGGUCGGUUCUCCUGUUGCAUCGGUGACCUAUUUGGUCGUUCACUACUUUACGUACUUUGACCUAUCUCGGUCGGUUCACUUUGUACUUGAUGACCUAUACGGUCGGUGUCGGCUGGUUGCCGACGGUUGGCUAUUGAGCAUAUCAGCAUCGAUCGUCACCACUCGUUCGCAUUUCACGAACACCAGCGGUCUGAUCCACCGCAGGGGGUGUUCUUUUCCGGAAAAGUGGUUGGGUUUGCCCACCCGUGAGCUCAGAGGUUACGACUGGGUAUAUGCAGGUUGAGUGAUUGUGGCAUUAGCCUGAGGUCUCCGGACCAACAAGGCAGGUUUAGAUUGGGUAUCCUUGGACUAUCCACCAGUUGAUGCAUACAUACAGUAGCAGUAGUUCAUUACUUGUACAUUAGUUCCUUACUUGUACUUUCUGUUCUUAUAUCAUAGUAGCUACUGUAGUUGUUUACCCUUACUGUUGUUUAGCCUCCUUUGCUGGUGCGUACCCUCGGCCUCGUCGGCUUGCGGUACCCACUGGGAGGGGAGACAUGUUUACAUGUUCUCACCCCCCGCCCCCAUUACAGGUGACGUCGCAGGUCCGAGUGGGACGGCAGGUGAGGAGCGAGUCUAGUGCGUGUUAGAGCUCCGUCCCGUUUGGUUCUCUUUUCCCUUGCUUGAAUAAAUAGUAAAUUUUUAUUAUGGUUCAGUUUCAUUCUGUACUUGAGUAAUUGGUUUUUCGCUGGCUUUACGUAUUGUGAUAAAAAGAGAUUUAUGGGCUUUUCAAAGUAAAAUGAUUUUCUACCCCUCGUGGUAGCACUUGUUUUAAAAAGAAAAGGGUUUUCAUAUUCGAUACAGUUUCAAUGGUUUUCUACCCCUCGUGGUAGCGUUUUAAAAGAUAAAGGUUUCCGUGUGAAAAACAGUCUUAAAAGAAGCUUCCAAUGGAUUUCUGAGACUUAGUAUUUCAAAACUUGUUUCCCGGUAGGAAACGUUUCAAAUGAUAGAUCUGGAUUUAUGUUUAAAACUAUGAAUACCGUCGUGUUGUGAAUGGUGAAUGUAUGGACGUCUGUAUGUGCGGUUGAGGUUGUAUGUUCAUAUGAUUGUGGUUGUAUUCUGGUUGUACUCUGGUUGUAUAAUUGUACUUGUGCGACGCCGUGCAAAUACAGGGGAGACUUUGUCCGUGUGAACAGUAGAUUCCCUGUAUUUGUGGCGGAUCUGACAUACUCUGGGGUCAGGUGUUUCAAAAAAAAAAAAAAAUUAGUCGUUUCCGCUGUUUUUCCAAACUAAAAAGGGACCCCGGGGUGUGACACCAGGAUAAGUCUACCCCCUCUUGAAAGGAUUUUGGCUUGCCAUCCAUCGAUUCUAUGUUGCAGUUUUGGAUUACCCAUCUCCAUGCCUCCUUUGUGGGGGGUUUUGGGGAGAGGGGGAACUCUAGGUAAGUGGUGGGGAAAGUGCCAACUUUGCAGUCAAGCAAGCUUGCUAGUCUUGCCGCUUCGCCCUCAGUCUGUCCAAGGUAGCAUAGUUCUGACUUCUCUCUGUUGAUUUUCAAUCCAAAAGCCCACUCGAAGUGGUGCCACAUCAAUCUAAGAUUCCUCAUAUAUUUUUUCCUAGCCAUAACGAAUAAGAAAGUAUCAUCCGCAGACUGUGUGAGUGUCGUUAUACUCUCAUCAGAUAGACCAAUUCCCUUGAAGAGGUCGUUAGAAGUGGCCUCGCUGGUCAAUCUGGCGAGACACUCCACCACCAAUAAAAACAGAAAAGAUGAUAACGGAUCCCCUUGUCGUACUCCUCUCUUAGUUUUUAUCCAAUUGGUCGCCUCUUUAUUGACCAAUAUAGCUACUUUAGCGUUGCAUACACACUGUUCAAUCCAACCACACCAUUUCUCGUCGAAUCCUCACCAUUGGAGAACUUUGAAAAGAAAAGGCCAAUGGAUCCUAUCGUAAGCCUUUUUGAAAUCCACUUUUAUACCGACCCUAUCGGUAGCCUUCUUACUACCCCAUCCUAUUAUUUCUGAUACUGUGACAAACGCGUCAGUGAUGUUCCUCCCUUUUAGGAAUGCAGAUUGAGAGAGUGAAAUUAACUCGUUCAUCACUAUUGCGAGCCGAUUUGCGAGGACCUUCGAGAUGAUCUUUUGGUUACCAUUUAUGAGGCUGAUAGGUUGAAAGUCGGUUGCUCCUUCCCUCUUAGGGAUUAGGCAGAUAUAGAAGUAGUCGAAUGGAGCAGUGGACAGUCUGGCCUCAUACAACUCCUGGAACAAGUUAAGUAAAUCUUCCUUGAUGGUAUCCCAGAAGGUUUGGUAGAACCUUAAUAGGAACCCAUCUGGGCCCGGAGCUUUAUCACUGCCCAAAUGGAACACUGCUUCUUUUAUUUCACCGAUGCUGAACUUCUUCGUAAGUUUCCUUAUCGUAGGGGCCGAGACUCGUUGAGAGAUAAAAAGUCUACUCCAAUCCCCGAAGGAAGAUGGCCCCGUGUCAUCUGCCUCGAAGAGCUCUUUAAAUUUUCGAAAAAAAAUAUUCCUUCUUAUGAUCCUCGGAUUGGUAGACGUGUCCACUUUCAGCAACAACCCCGAUCCCAUUGGCUCUUCUUCUCCCAUUUGCUAUACUAUGAAAGUAUUUUGUGUUACAAUCCCCUUCGCGCAGCAACUGUUGGUUAGCCCUAGUUCGCCACAGAGACGCUUCAUCAUUUAGGACACCCCUUAGUUUAACUUUUAGUUCCUCUCUCUUCGCUACACACUCCUCCGACAGAGUACCUUGCUCUUCCGCUUUGUCAAUCUGGUGGAUUUCCCCCAUUAGGUAAUUCUUUUGCCCUCGAAUGCUAUAGAACUCGUUAUUGCACCAUUCUUUAAUUCUUAGCCGACAGUGUCUCAGCUUCGCUGUAAAAGAAAGCACAGCUAAGCUUUUUGGCACUCCUUCCUUCCACCAUACUGGUACUUUAGAUAGGAAUCCCUCGUGAUUGAGCCACGCUUCCUCGAAUCGAAAGAUUUUCUUCCUUCCCUUGGUGCUUCCCUCAGUUGUUAGCAGUAUAGGACAAUGGUCUGAAGUGACACGGGAGAGACUACCUUGGAUAAAGGAAAAUCCUGAUCCCACUCUAUCGAGAUUAGGAAGCGAUCUAGUCUCGCGAGAGUUAGAAUUCUUUGCAUGUUGGACCACGUGUAGGAUUGGUUUAACAUUGGUGAGUCUACUAGUGCCAGCUCGCUUAUAAGAUCGUUAAACAUAGCCAUAGUUCUCACACUCCAGGUCUUCCCCCUUCGCUCCUCUUGCCUUCUAAUACUAUUGAAGUCGCCGCAAAUGAUCCAUCUUCCCACACAGUACGUUUUCAGCUACGCCACUUCCGAGUAAAAUCCCUCCUUUCCAGCUGCAAAUGACGAAACAAAUAAUUUGCCAAUCGUGACAGAGGGAUGAGAGAACUUAGUGCUGUGAGAAGGAAGAGAGAUCUCAGUAUUAUGAAACUACAAAAAUCAUGUGCAAGGAAGGAUCUAAGCUGAGAUCGCUACAAGGAGAAUGGAAAGAAAGCCCAAAAGCGGCUGACAUAGGUGGAUGAGGUUGGUAAAGUAUUAGUGAAUGUGAGUAAGAAUAUUGAAGAAGAGAAAGGACUUCUACCUUGUCAGGGAGCGGAUCGAGAGCACCAGGAAGGGAGCAUUAAUGGCCAUUUAAAAGGUAAGCUCUCGAACCGUUCAGACAUGACGGACGAGGUAGGCGAAGCCGCAUCGAAGGAUCAAGAGUGUCAGGGCGAAGUGAAGGUGACCUUGCAUGCUUACGGUAAGAAAGCAUCUAAUGAUCGUAGAAUCGAAGCUAUUGACGAGCACCAAAAAGGAAAGACAGGCUUGCUUCACAGCUCAGCCUUGGGAAAGGAAAGGUUCAGUGGGGUUGGUGAGGUGAUUAACUCAUUCUCCGGUCAGGGGACUUAUAAGGAGGCCCUAUUGAGAAGGUCGAAGACACUUCACCCUUCCGCCAUCUUACCACCUAAAAAACCCAUCUACUAUCAGGGGCUGAAGGAGCUCUUAACGAAUAAUCUUGCUAACAGAUGCUUUCGGCGCCUAGCCAAGGAUCAUAAAGCCGCUGCAAGCCGUGAUCCAGUAAGGUGCCUCAAGUGUCUAAGAUUCGGGCAUCGAGCGAAUCAGUAUAAGGAUAAAAGAAAGUAUAAUGUGGUCGACAGUAUGUACAGGCCUUACCAGCGUCUGGGCCAUGCGCCGGUGUUGAAGGUGUUCAUCCCAUACACGGAGAAAUAUCUACGACGACUGGAGCUGAGGCGCAACGCCGUUCUUACAGAUGUGCUUCAACCUGCAAAUCUGGGAUCCGACCCGAUUACCACUAUCAAGAAUGCGAUGGCGCGACGGUUCGGGGGCUAUACCGACGAUUUUGCGGUCGCACGGUAUAGGGAGAGGGAUUUCGCGAUCUUCCUGCCGGAGUGGGUCUCAGCUGAGGUACUAACUAGAAGGAAAGUGCUUACUCUAAACGACUUCUCGACUCGGUGCUACGCAUGGGGGCAAUACAGGAACACCUGCCUAGGACCCCCCUUUUAGUGCUUACUCUAACCCACAUCCCUUUAACACCUAACUUCUUCAUCCAAUUCCUAAGACCCCUAUUUUUCUCCACCAUCCUCGAUCUGACCACCUCCCUGUCCUCAGGCACUGCGCCAGCGCUGACCGUUGCACGCUGCCAUCGCCCGUCACGCACCGCCGCCCCUCCCGAAGCUCGAGUAUCUCCUCCCCCAGGCGCCAUCCCCCAACUCGAUGCCCGAUGGGUUCGAUCUCCCGACGUCGGCCUUCCUCCCCGCCCUAGCACCGCCAGCCGGGUCGCCGAGUCAGUAGGGGACACAUCCUCGGGAGGUGCACCAUCGCCAAACGUUGCCCCCCGCCAUCGCCCGUCUCCCACCACCGCCCCUCCUAGAACUCGAUUAGCUCCUCCCCCAAGCGUCUUCAUCCAGCACGAAGCCCGAAGCCCGAUCCUCGAACCUCGACGACCCUCCCCGCACCAGCUCCGCCAGCCUGCCCACCAAAGCGAGUGGGGUCGUGCGGGACAGCUGUGGAACCUCCAACCUCGAUGACCCUCCCUGCACCAGCUCUGCCUGCCUGACCGCUGAGGCGAGGCGGAUCGCGCGGGUCUGCUCAGGUACCUCCCCUUCCUCCACUUCGCCCGUUCCCGCGCCCAUCUCUUCUUCCACAGCCGCCUGGUCCCCUUCGCCGUCGGAAUGAUGGUUAAUAUCGGUCUCGUCUUCGUCCAUCUCCCUUUCCUCCGGUCCAUUUUUGGGGGGUAUCGAUGGAUCCCCGUCCCCCCCGUCUUCUAUCCUUUCCCAGCUUUCUAGGUGGACCAUGACGGAGUACAGAACCUCGCCGAGCAUGAUGGACAGGUUUUGUGGUACAUAAAACACUGAAUCCAGGACAAUCUGGCACCGAAAAGCUAGUAAGUCCGUCGUAGCUCUAGUGGUGGCAUCCGCCUUUACAAACCUCCCGAAACCCCCCACAAUCGUCGCCACUCAAGGGAUUGUCCAGCACUCAAAAGAAAGAUUAAUCAGUCAGAUCCAGGCUCGAAGCCUCGACUAGUGGGGACGGGCGUUUCUGUAUUGCCCCCAUGGAUAGCACCGAAUCCAGAAGUCGUUUAGAGUAAGCUCUUCCCUUCUAGUUAAUACCUCAGCUGAGACCCACUCCGGCAAGAAGAUCGCGAAAUCCCUUUCCCUAUACCGUGCGACUGCAAAAUCGUCGGUAUAGCCCCCGAACCGUCGCGCCAUCGCAUUCUUGAUAGUGGUAAUCGGGUCGGGUCCUAGGUUUCCAGGUUGAAGCACACUGCAAGAACGGCGUUGCUCCUCAGCUCUAGUCGUUGUAGAAAUUCCUCCGUGUAUGGGACGAACACCUUCGACACCGGCGCACGGCCCGGACGCUAGGCCUGUACAUACUGUCGACCACCUUAUACCUUCUCUUAUCCUUACAUUGAUUCGCUCGAUGCCCAAAUCUUAAGCACUUGAGACACCUUACUGGGGGUGGAAACGAGCCGAGCUCGAGCGAGCUUAUCUCGGGCUCAAAUUCAGCUUGAAAUUAAUUUCGAGCCUAAAUUUAAGCUCAAGCUUGGAUUGAAAUUAAUUCGAACCGAGCUCGAGCGAGCCUAAUUUCGAGUCGAGCGAGCUCGAGCCCUAAACGAGCCGCUUGAAAUUCCCAACAUCAUACAAUCAAUAGUUUAAUUUGUAUAGAAAAUUAUCUAUAAUUUGAUAAAAAAUAUGUCUAAUAGUUCAAAGUAUAAAAUAAUUAUAUGAAAUAUAGUAUUAUAAUAUAAAGAAAAAUAAUUUAUGAGUUGAAUAUCUAAUCUUUUCUGCCUCACAUGUCUUUUCUUCCGCCUUCAAUCUCCAUAUUAUUCAUUUUCAUUUAUGCGGUCAAAAAUAAAUAAAUUAUAUAGAUAAAUAUUGGAUUAAACUAUCCAAUCAUAUAUAACUAAAAUUAAAAUUUUAUAUGAAUAAUAAUUUUUUAUUUUAAAAAUAUUCUGUAUAUUUUCUCAAGCAUACAAUUAAUAGCAAGGUAGGCAAUGGCGGGCAUAUGCUGUUACUUGGUAAUUUGGAGGGCUUCCGGCUUGGCUACUUAGGGUGAGAGACAGAAAAAGGAAAAGAGAAACAUAUUAAAAAUUUAGAGCUAUGUGAAAAAAAGAAAGAAAGGAAAAAUGUAUAAAUUUAGUGAAAUUAUAUAUAUAUAUAUANGAUGGCAGCGUGCAACGGUCAGCGCUGGCGCAGUGCCUGAGGACAGGGAGGUGGUCAGAUCGAGGAUGGUGGAGAAAAAUAGGGGUCUUAGGAAUUGGAUGAAGAAGUUAGGUGUUAAAGGGAUGUGGGUUAGAGUAAGCACUAAAAGGGGGGUCCUAGGCAGGUGUUCCUGUAUUGCCCCCAUGCGUAGCACCGAGUCGAGAAGUCGUUUAGAGUAAGCACUUUCCUUCUAGUUAGUACCUCAGCUGAGACCCACUCCGGCAAGAAGAUCGCGAAAUCCCUCUCCCUAUACCGUGCGACCGCAAAAUCGUCGGUAUAGCCCCCGAACCGUCGCGCCAUCGCAUUCUUGAUAGUGGUAAUCGGGUCGGAUCCCAGAUUUGCAGGUUGAAGCACAUCUGUAAGAACGGCGUUGCGCCUCAGCUCCAGUCGUCGUAGAUAUUUCUCCGUGUAUGGGAUGAACACCUUCAACACCGGCGCAUGGCCCAGACGCUGGUAAGGCCUGUACAUACUGUCGACCACAUUAUACUUUCUUUUAUCCUUAUACUGAUUCGCUCGAUGCCCGAAUCUUAGACACUUGAGGCACCUUACUGGAUCACGGCUUGCAGCGGCUUUAUGAUCAUUGGCUAGGCACCGAAAACAUCUCUUAGCAAGAUUAUUCGUUAAGAGCUCCUUAGACCUCUAGUAGUAGAUGGGUUUCUUAGAUGGCAAGAUGGCGGAAGAGUGAAAUGCCUUCGACCUUCUCAACAGGGCCUCCUUAUAAGUCAUCUGACUGGAGAACGAGUUAACCACCCUACCAACAUCAUUGAACCUUUCUUUUCCCAAGGCUAAGCUGUGAAGCAAGCCUGUCUUUCCUUCUCGGUGCUCGUCAAUAUCUUCGAUCCUACGAUCAUUAGAUGCUUUUUGUCGUAAGCAUGCAAGGUCACCUCCACUUCGCCCUAGCACCCUUGAUCCUUCGAUGCGGCUUCGCCUAUCUCGUCUGUCACGUCCGAACACGUCCGAACAGUUCGAGAGUGUACCUCUUAAAUGGCCAUUAAUGCUCCCUUCCUAGUGCUCUUGAUCCUCUCCCUAACCAAGUAGAAGUCCCUUCUCUCCUUUAAUACUUCUACCCACCUUCACUAAUACUUUACCAACCUCAUCCGCCCAUGCCAGUCGCUUUUGGGCUUUCUUUCCCUUCUCCUUGUAGCGAUCUCUGCUUAGAUCCUUCCUCGCACAUGAUUUUUGUAGCUUCACAACACUAAGAUCUCUCUUCCUUCUCACAGCACUGAGUUCUCUCCUCCCUCUCACGAAGCGACAAACUUUAUAAAUAUAAUUUCCAGCUGCAAAUGACCAAACAAAUAAUUUGCCAAUGUGUUCUUAUGCAUCCAACCAAAUAAGAAACAUAAAAAUGUAACGUUAUAUUUUCAACCGCAUGAAUAUAUCUCUGACUAUAAUGUAUUCAGCUAAUCUAACCACCGCAAAACACAUUCUCUGUUAUAAAACAUGAAAAAGAACACAGAUGCAACAGCGUAGAUUAUUCGCACUACUUGGGACUAAAAAAGAUAUUAAUUCUGGCAUUGAUGGAACAAUAAUUUAAGUAAAUUGUUUGUCCUUAAGUAAAGGACAUCAAGCAUGUAAAUGCCAAAAUUUUAGAGACUCGAUUUUGCCACGAAACAACUUUUCACUAAAAUGCAAAUUGAUGAUCCUCAAACUUUGUUUCAAGUUCUUUACCUUUUCCUUUUCUUUUUCUUUAUUCGGGGCCGCGAAUGAUGCAUAAUUAUCCAAGGUCUUCAUUAAAUGGACUUAGUUAUCCACCUAAAGUGAUGCGCAUUUCUGCCUCAAUCAUAUCAUAGCCUUCUUUUAUGCAGCAAUGCACAAAAACAUUGAUUCUGUGGUCAGUGAAACUCUCUUUAUUAUUAUUAUUAUUUUAACUUGACAAUGGCUCAUAAAGAUUUUUAUCCGUUUUAAUGGAAACUUACAAUAGAAAAAACAACAUCAUAAUUCAUAAACUUCAGAGUGGUAAGAAAUGGAAGCAAACUCUAUUAAACUGCAACAUCAUAACAGUUAAAAGAACCAAGGCCAAACUGCAACUAGAACAAAAUGACUGGAACUACUAAUGCAAUAACAUUUUUCAAUUAUUUGAUCAAAAUGAAAAGGCUAGAGAUCAAGGUCAAAAAAUGAAACUGUUUUCCAUCAUUUAACAAUGCAAUUCUUCAAGAUAACCCCAAGAAAAAAGGAUAACAGGGCAAGUCAAUUUUCAUCAUUUUUAUAUCUUUAGAGUAGAAAUGCAAACAGAAUCAAAGACAACAACAUUCUCAAAACAUUACUCAAUAGAUUAGCCAUAUCAAUAAGAAUUUUUUAAAAUACUUCAUUGUGUUUCACUAAGUAAAAUAAGAUGUAUCUUAUUCAGCAUCUAAAAAAUAUGACAAUAUACAUGAUCUGUAGCUUGAAAGGCAAUUCAAUAACAGUAAAGAUAUUCAGAUGAUAACAAAUUCAAGUAAAUGCUUUCCGGACAUUUAACGUUGUAACAAUUAACACCUACUAUUCAAUCAUCACAUGAUUCACACUAGAUGGUCCAAUCCUAUAAUGUGAUCGCUAACCAAGUUAUUUGAACUACAUUGAAAUAAUAUGAUAGUUUUCUCAUCGUUCCGGAGUAGUUAAUUGAUCAAUUUUUUAAUUCAAAGCUAGCUCAUCCCAUUAUUUUCAAUGGUGCCUAAGUUGGAUCAAAUGGGGCAGAAUAAUAUUGUAGUUCUCACUGACAAAAUUUUUCAGUAUAGAAUGAUUGACUAGUAAAUAAAAUUAACUAGAAAUAUGAAGCAAUUAGGCUUCAAACUUGGGACCUUGGGUACCAACCAUCAAGCCCUCUACCCCACUAGCGCUAGGCAAAUAUUGAGACAUCUAAUUAUUUGAGAUAUUAACCAAGGAUUUAAAUGCCGUGGCGGCUCAUGCCGGAAAUUUGCCGGCACGGUACGGCACAAUGCGUGUCGGGCGGUGCCAAUGCGUGUCGAUUACAAAAAAUAUGUGUCCCGACACGUAAUGACAUGAAAUAUUUAUUUUCUUUAGUAGCAAAAUAUGUCAAUUAUUUAUUAAGUAUUUUUAUCAAAUUUUUUGAAUUUCUUUGAGAAAAUUAUUUACUAAUUUCAAGAAUAGAGAGUUUUGAGUUGUGCCAUUGGCACGGGGACUAUAUCGUGCAGAUAUUUUGCUAGCACGAUACUGUACGGUGAAUACGAUCCGUACCGAUGGGCACUUUAAUUCUUGAUAUUAAAAUUAGCUUCUUUACUACUAUGACAUUGGUAAUCAUCAUGCUGAAACUCAGCUGAUUGACAAGUAAAAAUAUUGAUUGUUAUAUCCUUUUUCUAUAUCAUACAACUAAAUGAUUAUGAACAGCGCCGACUAUAGCAAAUACCAUGUAAAUAAAACAAUAAGAAAACUAUAUAUAAAAUAAAUACUCGAAAUAUAUCACAUUUACGCAUUGCUAUAUAUAGAUCUGGCAGCAGUGGCAUAAGAUACAGCUUUCCUUCUCUAUACCAAAAAAGAGUCAGCCAACUUGAUGAGGGUUUAUUAAAGGAACAGAAACAUGUUGCUUGGCUUACAAAAUUUACAGUAAGAAUCACAAUCACCAAAGCAAAUCUACAGGGAAAUGCCGGUCUCGGAGGAAAAUCUAUUGCCAGAUUCCUCAAAUAGAAAUGACACGCAAAGAUUUCCUCGGGCGGAAUGAAAAUUGGCCAUUGCUUGCAACUUAAUUUAAGGACUGAUUUUCCUAACGGCAAGCACAAUGUAUGUGAAUAAUAGGUAUCGGUCACAUUCGUUUGGCUAUAAUCACAAUAAAGUGGCCAUAAUCCACAGAAUUAGAGAUCAAAAUUUCCCCAAUCUUUCGCUACAAAUUUACAAUUGGGUUCUCAACCAUUAUGCACUGCUCAAAACUAUUCCUCUCAUUGACAUGUUAAAUUGGAUGGAAAUGCCUACAUAAUCAGUAGGGUGAAUCUAAAAAUUUGAUCUACAAAUUUAACCGAAAAAAAAAAAGAUCUGUAUUGAAUCCUGGAGUCCAAGGGAUUCGAUCAUAAAAUUACAAUUUCGGAGAGCAAAUACAAACUAAGCUAAAAGGUGGCUUCGAUUUUGCCCAAGAAUAGUUUGUUUGUAAUUCAAUCGAUCAAACAGGUAUACAGAAUUCCUGUGUUGAUGGCAAUGUUUGGUUUCUCCUCUCCUCGUAUAAACAACAAAGUUGAAGCGGAAAGAACGGAUCACGGUAGUGUACACAAAAACAUACAUAAAUUCUGUCCAAUUCAAAUAAGAAUCAAGAAAUGAAGAGCCAACCGAGGCGGUAAAGGGCGAGGUUGGACAGGGUGAGGACGGACCCGGCGGUGGUAAUCCACCACGAGAGGAACAAAGCGGCAUCCUUUACGGGAUCGGAGUAGCAGCGAAGGGUAUGGGAGAAGGGGAGAGGGACGAAGAGGUUACCUGUGAGCUGGGAGAGGCCGAGGAGGAGGAGGGAGAGGAGGGGCGGGGCGAGGAGGUGGGCGGCGACGGCGCAGACGCGGCGGUCGUGGAGGAAGACCUUGGCGCGGGCGUAGGCGAGGUCGGGGGGGGCGCGGGGGGCGUGGCCGUAGAGGCGCUGGUACCAGGAAGGACUGGAGGGUAAGACCUUCGUUUUGGGGAGCGGCCGGAAGGGGAGAGGAGGAAGGAAAGGGAUCGGGGCUGGGGUCGGUGGUAGGCGGCAGGGGUGAGGAGUUGGGGCAAAACGCCAAAACCUUCGUCUUCGUUUUGGGGAGGCGAGGGGGCGAUUCGAAUUUCCAGAAGUUUUUUUUUUUUUUUUUUUUUCGAGCCAAGAAGAGCGGGCGGAGGAGGCGGCGGGGGAGCGGAGGAGGAAAGAGGAGGGCGACGGCGACGGCGACGGCGGCGGGGAUGUGGGAUGGGGAUGGGGAGGAGGGGAUCAAGAGGAAGGCGAGGGAGAAGAGGAGGGGGAGAGAGGAGAGGGAGGGGAGGAGGAGGAAGGGGAGGAGGAGGAGGAGGAGGAGGGAGAGGGAAGCGGAGAGGAAGGGGAGAGGGUGGGGAAGAAGAGGGAGGAGGAGGAGGGAAGGAGAAGGAGGAGGAAAGGAGAGUGGAAGGAGGGAGCUGGGGCGGGAGUGGAGGUCGGAGAGGAGAAGCGGGAGGGCGGAGGAGCUGGUGCUGGUGCUGUGAGGAAGGCUGGUGCUGGUGUGGGGUGGUGGGGGGGAGAGCGCGGGGGAGUCUGGGAGGAUGCCGGCGGCGACGACGGAGCUGGAAUCGGACAUGCUUUUGCUGCCCGACUGGAUCGCAAGAGGGGGAGGGGGAUGGGGGAAGUGAUCCAGAUCUGGUUUUUGAGUUUGCUUUUUCUUUUUCUUUUUCUUUUUUUUUUCGGGCAAUCUUUUUUCCACACUGUAAUUUUAAAAAAUUACACUAAAUUUUAACUAUUCUAUGAUUUAACUCUUUUAUUUUAUUAUUUUGCAGUUCCAAAAAUUAUACUAUACUUAAAAAAAUUUUAUUUUACUAUCCUAUUUGAUAGUUUAUUUUUUAAUAAAAAUAAAAAUAUAUGGUAGUUAAAUAUAAUUUUUCGAAUCAUAUGGAUAAAUUAUAGUUUACCUUCUUUUUAAUUUUUAUUUUUCGGAGUGAGUGCGGCCAGGUUUAUAAUACUGUAAUUUAAUAAUUUUGCUCAUCUAAAAUCUAGAACUAACACUCCAGUGUAAUAAUUUUUUCUGUUUUUUUUUUUUUUUUUAUGUUGUAGACUUAGCUUGCGUGCGCGCUAACCAAACGCAGCUUCGUUCUCGAAGCUGUGUCUCCACAAGCUUUCAAGUUUUUUAUCACAACGAUGUUUGCCUCAGCUACACUCCACUCCACUAAUUUUGUCAUGGAUUCUUAUCAUGCCUACUAACUAUUCUGCAUUUUCGCUACUUUGUUGGUGCUCAGUAUCUAUCAACCUUCUCCUUUCCCUGAACCCGCUCCCCAAACCUCUCUUUGCCCCGCACCCGAAACAUAUACACAUAAAAACAACAAACAAUGAUACUUGAAUUAAUUCUAGCACUUCAUUCUGCUCCACAGAGUUUAAAUCGUCUUAGGAUUCAUCAAAAAGGGGGGAAAGAAAAAGAAAACACUAUUCCGCUUAUAUCCAGUAAAUAAAGAGACCAACACGAGUUCGACCGCUAAUUACUUCAUCUACACACCAAUCUUCUCCAAACCUAAAAUUAACGAAAAAUUCUUGAAAAAAUAAUAUAAACACACCAAUCAGACGCAUGAAAAACAAUAACAACGACAACAUGAAUGGAUUCAACUUGGGAAACGAGUAGGAACAGGAGAAAGAACUUAAUUACAUAGGUAUUGAGUUGGCGAGCGCACGAAGCUAGACAAGUUGUAGUGCUUCAAAUACUUGGGGGAUAAUCGAAGGUGUAAUGUAGCAUUUUUCUUUCACGAAACAAACCAACCAGUCCUUUUACAUCAGUUGUUUCUUCCUUCCGACUCAUUUUUGGAUGCUAAUGCGGAUUCAGCGGAAAAUCAAUAAUUGUAAACCAAAUCCUUAUCAAAGCACGCAAUGAGAAUGGCGUUGAUAAAUUAUCGACAAAUCCAAACCAUGGCUAAUUCUCAGUCUAAUACAGGCCUAACUGUUAACUAGACGCGCAUACACAUUAGAUGGGCUUUUCUCCGGUUCAGUUAAUGGAGAGAGAGAACUAUUUUGAAUCACACAACAACUCAAAAUCUCCCACCUAGCAUAGAUAUAUACAACCAGCUUAAAUUUCUUUAAUUAGCCACUAAAGUUAAGCAUGAUAAAGAGUUCACCUAGGGUUUUCUGACUCAGCAAACUUCAGUUUCAAACUUAAGGCAGAUACCAGUGCUAAACAGCUCCUGGUAGAGCAGCUUCGCGCCGUAGGGCACAUUGAUCUUUACAAUAUUCUCAGCAGAGCGGCAGAAACCACAAAACGGGCCACGGAUCUUCUUACCUCCUGGGACGGGCCGGAGGAUGACGUUCGCGGCCCGCUUGCACGUCUGGCAAAUGUGCAUCUGAGAGAAGUCACUGAGCAUGAAGAGCCGCUCAUGGAGGUUUGCAGCCGCCCCGUGGGCGAGGAGGCAGUCGCGCUCCAUCUCCCCGAAUUUCACGCCGCCGAAUCUCUUCCUAUCGGCCACCGGCUGCCUCGUCAGCGGGUGGACUGGGCCCGUGUUUCUGAACUUCACCUUGUCUUCGGCCAUGUGGAUCAGCCGCUGAUAAAAGGUGGGGCCCAUGAAGAUCAUGGAUCGCAUCAUUUCCCCAGUCCGACCGUUAAGAACCUUCUCGCUCCCCCACCUUGAAUAUCCAGCCCUGAAAUACAAAGAUCACAAUUAACAAUGGGAAUUGGAGAUCGUGCUAACAGUAAAAUGUGCAAUUGCAACCAAGGAUUGUUCUCAAAGAUCUAGAAGAAAAACUUUGUAGUAAUCAUAUUAAGUGUUGCAAAGUUUUUUAUUUAACAAAAUAGGAAUUAAAAUUAGACUUCAGCUAUACAAAAUAUAGCAAAAAUAGAAUCAUAAUAACCCGCCUAGUCAAGAGGUAUCGAGUUUAGGUUUGUCAUAUGAAGCAAGGCAUCCCAGGGCAUCAAUCUGUCUUUUGUUGUCAUUAUCCACGACAAUAUCAUCACAGACAAAAUAACAAAUAAUUUAUCUGCCAAAAUAACUCAGGUUAACAGUCAACCAUGUGAAUCAUAGCAUAUACGCAUACAUGCAUAUCUGUUGGCAUCAAAAUGUGCUUUCAUACUCCAUGAGGACGUAACAUUUCACUCGGCAGAUCACAGUUACUCGUACCAGCAAACAUGACAAUGUCAUAAAAUCACAUGGUCAAUUAAGAGGAAAUGAAAUUAGUCUUUCAUUUGUUAUUUUUACAUGUAAAUUUGACUCGCCUGUGCAACUGCUCUGUGAUAACAUCAACAGAGGGAGUAGUGAAUGGUGUGGCAUAUCUUGCUGAACCUCCACAUGCUAUCCCCUUUCCCAGAGCAGCUUCAAGAAGCUGGCCAGGAGUUUGCCGUGUUGGGAAGGCAUGAGGAUUAAUCACAAUAUCAGGAACUAUUCCUUGACGUGUAAAUGGAAAAUUUUCUUGAGACUCCAAGAACCCAACCACACCUUUCUGACCAUGCAUACUGGAAAACUUGUCUCCAAGACAGGGAGAUCGAACCUGCAGGAAAGAGUCAAAUCACACAAGAAUGCCUUGUAGCGUAUUCAAAUAAACACUGCAAGUAUAAACUGAAACAGCAAUAUUAGCUUGAUCACGAAAAUAAAGUUUACAAAGGGUAUUAAAUUUUUAGACAAACAAGAAACUAACAGAAUUUGAGAUGGUAGACAUCCACCUAACUGCAGCUUCUUCCUACGAAGAGUAAUAACAUAACUUAUCUGCUUCUAAAUAUCCACACAAAAAUGCAGCGCUUUGGGAAGGAAAGAAAGAAAGAAAGAAAGAAAGAAAUAAGAAUGUAUGACAUGAAAGGUACUUCAUACGUGAGAACAGGCAAGAGAAUCAUAAAGAUUUGAUAUCAUAAAGAGGAUAACAUGAGGAUGAACCAAAUUGACCAUAAACCGUGAUGGUUAAUCCAUACUUAAGAAUAUAAAACCAUAGUAAUAUCAGAUCAAAUUGCUUGUAGAAAACUCGAGUAUUAAUGACCAACCUAAACUGAAGCUGAAUAAGAAAAUCUAGUUUUGAGAGUAUAUCCUACUUGAUAGUAUGAAAAGGAAUAUAAUCUGAAAAUUUGGUGGGACCAUUUAAGAGAUUACCUGUCUGAGAGUUACAACUGCAAAGUUUUUCCCUUCAUCAUUGGCAGAAAGAAUAACUUUCUGCACCAUCCCUUUUUCUGUAUGUUUUAGCUUUAUACUGUGAUCUUCUCCCGAUUCUGCAACUUUUCCUAUGACAAUGUCACCACUCUGGAGACUUGCACUGAUGUAUGGUAAGCCGUCAUCGUCUAAACUGUCAACCCGCCCUUUCUUGCUUUGAGUUUUGCCAAAGUCAACCUUAUCCUUCGGCUUCAGCCGAUUCGUGAAAUCCUUGUUUUCGACCUCAGCUUUGUAGCUUCUGAAAUGUUCAGUGCGGAACAUACCACGCUCUAGGGAAGUCCUAUUCAUGACCAAAGAAUCCUCUUGGUUGUAUCCCUGAUGAACGUUGACAGCUACAAUUGCAUUCUGGCCAUUGAAAUAUUCAGGUCGAGCAACAUCAUCUUUACGCCCAGGACUAUAAUCAGUCCUACCAAGGCAAUCAGCUAUCACUGUUUUGAACAGGGGCCUCUGCGGAUAAUAAAGCUGGUGUGACAAAGUGUCAACUCGGAUGUUAGGAUUUGUCGUUGAGAAGCCAAUAGCCUGCUGAGAGUGCUUCUCAGACUGAUACAGGACCCUUCGAGCAAAAUUGUGGUUAGCGAAAGGAAUAAUUCCACAACUUAAUCCCAUUAGAAAAGAUAGUUCAAGUUCACUAUGGGAGUACUUAGGAAUAGGCUCUCCUUUAUCUCCUACAAAGAGAUGCCUAACUCCCCAUGCAGUUUGCAAGUCUUCCUCUUCUUCAACACCAAUGAGUUCUAUGAUUUCUUGAUCCAUAAGAUACUGGAAAGAGUACGAUCCUCCUUUGAGAUUUUUUAUUUUCUUGAGAUUAUCAACCACAAGAAGGGGCCUCAUAAUCCUUCCCGCAUCAGAAAAUAUACGUACUUCUUUUUGGUGCUUGUCCCUUUUGAUUUCCACCUAAACAAAAUUUGUGAGAGAAAUCAACAUUCAGGGUUUUUCAUACUAUUGGCCAGUAUUAGAAUCCAAGAACUGUGUUUAAAAGCAAUAAUAUAUCACAUCAUCAACUUUCUACAUACAGUUCCCACAAUUAGUAAUCAGAAAUCCACGCAAAGUUAAAUAUCUAACUUAUACUCCACCACUUAUACAAUUAUUAGAAAUUUCAAGCUACAUGGAGAAAGCAAGACCAACCUGUGCAUGAAUUACUUUGUUGCGACGCAUGCAUCUGAAACUUUCAACAAAUGAACUUGGGUCUGCACAAACUCCUAUCCAGUCCCCAUUCAGGAAGACUUUAUCCAUUUUGGUUGUUGAUGAUAAAGGACUUUCGUCCAAUUUCUCCAUUCCGCAAGAAACCAAUUUAUCCAAGAUUGGUUCCAUUAUUCUCGAGCUGACAAUAGCAGUAACGGCCAAAUUUUUGACAAGUCCACAAUUUUCACCAUCUGGAGUGGAUAGAAAGCACAAUUUACCCCAGUAGGACGGGUUUCUGCAGAGUCAUUCUUCAUCAAUCAAUUUUACUAAAAUUACAAAUUAUUAACGAGAAUACAUCUCAUAUCAAUGUAAACCAAAAAAUAGAACCUUACAUCGAUGACACUGAUUCUAUCAUUUUGUGUAAAUUGACCAAGCAAAGAAAAAAAGAAAGUUCAGAAAUAGCAACAUCAGAAUGGUAGGGGCGUGAUAUUUUGCUGUAAAUAAAUAUAAAACCCAUUUUCGAAUUAAGAAAAAAAGAAACAGAAAACAACUUACGGGUAUCUAGCAUCUCCGGCCUUCCCUGCGUAAGCAACCUGUUGGCGCGUUUUCCUCAAAUCAGACAUCAUUUGGAGAGGAUUUGUUCUUCUAAGAGUUGCGACAAUGCCUGAUAUUCUUUCAGUUCUCUUAUAUGGAUGACACCACGCACCAGUUGAAAAGGCCCGGUUUAUGCCAUUUGUGAUAAUCGAGGCAUCCCAAUAACGUUCAAUCAAUUGCAAGUCGCGGUCCCCAUAUAAAUCUCUCUGCAUUGUCUUAACCAUUCGCUUCUCAGCAUGUCUAAUAUGUGCCCUCAAUUCUCUCGCAAGCAGUUCACCAGCUAAAUCCAAUCUCUUGUUCCUGAAAUCAUCCUUGUUGUCGCACUUUCGUUUCCCAGAAAAGGCAAGUAAGAGGCAUUUCACCAUGUAUCCAAGGGAAAGCGCUUUCUGGCGAUGCCCACUAACACCAGGAAAUAGGUACUUAGAAACAUAUUCGUCGAACGAUUCGGACGGAGGAAAUUUUGCAUUUUUUAUCUGCUCAUUAAUGUAUUCACGAGCUUUGUCUUCUUUGCGGAAGCCCUCAAAUUGCUCAUCCGUCUCUUUUAUCGUUGCUAGAAGUAUGUUUACAAUAGAAGCACUACAGUCUUCAAGAUCGAUCAUCUCAAAAAUCUCUUUAUCAGAUGAUGCACCGAGGGCAAAGAACAUUAACCAUAUAGGCGCUGUUGCGUACAAGAAAUAUAAGCUGAUAACUCUUCGACCAUUGGAACCUUCAGCCUUUGGCGACUCAAGAAGCUUUAUAUAGAUUCUUUUUCUUUUUAUUUCAGAAAUAUAUGACACCGUCCAGACUGGCCUAUCAGUUACCCAGAGCCUUGUUAAACAUCUCUGCUCCUGAGCAAUAAAGGUCUGCAGAGUAGAAAAGGAAAACAAACAUUAUAGCUCCGUUUGCACGAUGCAUCAAAGUGGAGAAACAUGCCAGAAGACCAUCUGAUUACCAGAAAAUAAAGUUUCUUAAUUUUCAUAAAAUGGGGGAUCUUUGGUAUUUAACUAAAUCUUAAAAUGCCACCGGUAUCCCCUUUCAUAAAUGUUCUUUCUCUUUAGUCUAAAUUGCUGGAGCCCAUGCUGACAAACCAAUAAAGAAGAGCAAAAAAACAGCGUUAUUCCAAUAACUGCAACUCCUUUUUCUGUCAAUAACUUCCAAAUAGUGAAAUCUGGUUAAAACAUGUUAGAAUCUUGACGCAAAAUAGCUCAUUUUAGUAAAAAGGAAGCUUCCAAAUAGUGAAAUUUGGUUAAGAAACAUUCCAAUGAUUUUAAUCAGAGUCUUGAUGCUAGGGAGCUUCUUUUAGUAUUAGGGGGCAAAAAGUUUUAGGUAAUUUAUUCCAUGUAUUGAUUGCUAACAUUAUACUAGAACUUGUCAUAUUUAAAUUGAGCUAAGGAGAAAAAUUGACAUGCAGUCUGAUUCCAAACCAAGAUAAAGUGAAGACGCAAAUCUUGUCCAAACUGUCAAAUGAGGAAAAACGGAAAAUAUAAACCUUUAAUGAACAUAAAAAAUGAGUUCCGAAGGAUGCACGAUAAGAUAAUGCAAAACAAGUAAUUCAUCUGGCAAGUAGGCAGUUGAUAGCAGAGAUUUGAUACAAUAGUACCUUCUCCAUUCCUUUGAUCAAAAAGUAGCCACCAGAAUCAAAAAGGCAAUCACUUUUCCCAAGCGUGUUCAGCCAACAAAGAUUCGAUCUCACCAUUACAGGCAACCUUCCUAUGGUAAUCUCCUUCUUUUCAUCAGCCCACACCCUCUUGUGAACGGAUUGGUCCUUCCCCGACUGGUCCUUCCCCGACUUAGCUUUGUCACUUUUCUCAUGUGAAUAGACCUGUAUAUAUAAUGCCUCUUAAUACAGAAUGUCAAAAAACCAUAAUAAUAUCAUGCCAAGCAAAAUGCACACCUUAAAUUAAUGAGGGCUGAAAAGUUAAAAAAAGCACAAUCUACUAUCAUAGGAAAUAUCUGUACUACAAAAUACAAUACCGUGUAACGAAAGCACAAACAAUAAUAUGGGUUCUUGAAGGUGAUAGCUUUUAAUUGGGAUAAAAGAUGAGCACAAUGAAAGAAAUUAUUAAAUUAUCAGGCUAACAUACAGUUUCCUACAUUCGAAAAGAAAAAAGAUAGAUACUUAAUGUUUGCCAUCAAACUUCACCAACCCUUGAUAUUGGAAUUUAGGUCCUAGGGACAUCGAUUCUCUGAUGCCAAGCUUUUUCACAAUGAUACAUCAGAAUAACAGUAUGAUUAAUCUGACAUAGUAAAAUCCUAGGAUUCUAGGUAAAUUAAACCUAGAUGGAGGUUUCAGCUUCUUCCAAAUGAUCCUGCAAAAAUAGAAAGUGCACAAACAGGAAAGUCUACAAAGGAGUUCAAUCUUUGCAUAGUGAUCAAAGUAUCGUAAGAACCCAUGGCAAGCACAUGCAGAUGCAUUGCUGUUUCCCAACAAGUACACAAUAUCUUUAUUUGUAGCCAAAUAGAGUUACAUGAAACACCAAAUGUACAGUUAAACUAGAUGGCAUGACAAACAAAAAGAACACAGAAUUUACAAAAAGAACACAGUGUUGCCGACCUGAACCCGAACUUCCACUUUCAUUUGUGAAGAAUAUGUCAUGUUUUGAAGGCGUGCAUGUCUAGGAGUCAACUUCAGGCAUUCCUCUUCAUAAUCAUUCUUCCCGGACCAAAAUACAGGUUUUUCCAGACUAACUUUUCCAAAUGAGAUGGUCGCAUGUCUCCAAGCACUUCCCCCUUUCUUUGAAGGAUCGUAGCCCGGCUCAACAGUUAUUUCACCGAGAGAAUCAAAAAGAUCUUGAAGCCCAUGGGCUAUAAAUUCAUUGUAGGAAUUUAUCUGAUGACUAAUGAGACCCCAAUCAUUGAAGAACGCCCUUGCAGCUUCCUUGCAGAAUUUCUCGAGACUUGCCACACUCAUGUCAAGAUUUUCCAUGCUGCUUGAGGGAGAAUCAAUAGACAUCGGUACAGAAGUAGAACAUUUUCCCUUUCCGUUAUCCUCAGGAAAGUCCAUCUCCAUGUCCGAUAAAUUAGGUGACUGUUCCUCCUCCAUGGCUGACUCUAACAGUAUCACUCUCCUGAUGAAUAAGGUAGAAAAAGAUUUAACCUUUUUUGAGCAAAAAACAGCCUUUUCGCCUAAUCUACCAUGAUGUUCAAUUAGCAGUAGAUGCUGAGUCUUCCCAAUCCAACAAAAAUAAAUUUGCUAAGGGUCCGUUUUGUUCAACAUAAACCUGUGAAAAAUAAGUUCUCGUGGAAAAAAAAUUUCGGUUGGGAAAAAAGUUUAACAUUUUGCAGUGUUUGGUUUGUAGGGGGGAAAAACAUAGUUUUCCAUCAACAUUUGUUUGGUUGAAAGAAAAAAAUUCACAUUUGUUUGGUUCGGUGGAAAAAAAAAAAUGAAAAAAGUUUUAUGCAGCUUGAAUUUUCAUUUUCCACCAAAAAACAGCAAAAAAUGAAAACUUCAAUUUUUCCCCAAACCCAUAAAAAUACUUUUUACAAGAAAAUGUUUUAACAUCAAACUAAACGAGCGGAGAUACAUUUUUCUUACUGAAAACAAUUUUUCGGUUAAUUUUACACUGAACCAAAUGCCCCUAGACCAAAUAUCAAAAGGCUAAACCAUUUCAACGCACAAACUAUAUGUAUUUACCAAUUAAAGACUAGGAAUUAGACAAAGAGAGAGUGAAAGUUGUAUUUCGUUUUUCCUUACUUAUUCUCUGUUAUAAAACCAGCAUUAGUAAGAACUAAGAACUGCUACUUAUUUCCAGUGCUAAACGUUAAGUCAAACACUGGUACGAGAAGCACUACAUCAAAAUGCCCCCAACUGCUACUUUCGUUAGCAAAUCGGAGCUUCUGCUUCCAUCAAACGCUAUACUAGUUACCGCUGCUGCUGCCCUAGGAUUACUCCCAGUUGCAGCCUCUAUUAAUAUUACUUAGAAACUAGACGUGUAGCAUAAUCGUGAAAAUGAUAGCAGCAAACCACUUUCCUACGAUCCUACCCACCUAUAAAUCGAUCAAACAGCAAUAAAAUCAUUCGGAAACCAAAAUUAGAGCAUCAUUAGAGAGGUGCUUGGAGUGGCCUCAAAAAUGGCGACCACAUAAAAUGGCGUGGAAACGAAGAGAGAUUGGGAUCGUACCUUUAACGGAGUCCUCGUAUGAGGGAGUAGAGAGGUUCCUCGACCUAGUGAAUGUUGACCAUUAGGGAUAGGGUUUGGUGUGGACGAGGCUUCGUCACAGGUGAAGAAAGAGAGAGACUACUGUUUCUCCUCUCGCUCUCUUCUUCUUUAGGGCGCGUUUGGUUCAAGUUAUGUAAUAUUAUAGGGUAUUUCAACAUAUUCAGGUAUUUUGGAUUUCUAAAUGAGAUUACUAUUGAUACUGCAUUAAAGCGUUUGAUUUAAUACAGUAAUAUAAUGCUGGCAUGCAGUGUUUAUAGCAUUACUAUGUUUGGUUCAGUCUAUAAAAUUUAGUAAUCCUAACAGAAAAGUAUAGUCUUUUCCAAAAUUGCCCUUGGGAUCAUUUGAAUAUUUUUUUUUUACAUAAUCAAAAAUCAUACAAUAACAAAUAAAUUUCAAUUUAGAAACUCAUCUAUAAACAAAAUCAUUAACCAAACAUCACAUAAAGGCACAUUAACAACAUAAUAUUAAAUAUAUAUUUUUCAUUUUUAAUAUCAAAUAGUACUAUUACCAAGUUAAGAAAUUAACAAAGCACCAUAUAGAAUAAAUAUUUCAUAGAGUCGAAACUUCCACACACAUCAUAAUACCAUCCAAAAGUGGAAGCUUAAACACUUACAUUAUAAAAAUUUAAAAGUUCUUGCACUAAAAAAAGGCAAGCCAAAAAAGUCUAAACCCAACUAUCCAACUCUAAUAACACAAUUUCUUCAAUCAUGUCCGCCUAAGAUGCGGAAAAUGUAUUGCUUUCGGUAAUGAUCGGGCAUGCACUAAAAUGUGUGUAAUUCUGUAGAAUCACCCGUUAGGAUUUCAGUGGCAUCCAUUAUUUGCCUGUCCUCAAGUCCCUCGAUCUUUAGUAUCUCUUCAAACAACUUCUUCUUUAUGGUCUCAUUAUUUGCCAUGAAUUGAAAGCAAUUAGCAAGCUGACCUAAGUGCUCGUUGGCAUCGUUAAAUGAAAUUCCAAGUGAACGCAAAGGUUGAACAAAAUUGUUCAUUGAUCAAAUCCUCUCCAAGUGGUGACUUUCGCUUCUUUGAUUUUGUCAAUGUGCCACCAUUCGAAGUGUUUACUCGAGCUAAAAAACAUCUCGACAUCAGGAUCUUAGGUGGAUGCGUGUGUCAUUAACUCUUCCUCUAGGGUUUUUAUUUUUAACUAGGGUUUUUAUUUUUAGGCCAACACAUGAUUAAUUAGGGCACAAAAAACAUAUAAAUUUUUCCCUAACAAUCCAGGAAAAGGGAGAUUUAAAAAAAAAAAAAAAAAAACGAGAUCCAAAACUAGAUUAAUAAGAAUCAAAAAUACCAAAGUGCCUGUUAAGCAUGUCCUGUAGAAAGAUUGCAACUAACUGAAACAAGACAUGGCUUCAGAUCUGACGAAGUUGGCAACAGAUAUAUAAUCAAUAUGUGAAAAAGAGGCAUAAACACUCCUUAAAUCGACGAAAAAAGGAAAAAAAAAAAAAAAAAACCUCCAAAUCGGAUCUAGCUUCAGUUCGAAAAACAUGGGUUUUAGCGAGAGAGGAAAGGUGAUUAAAUAUGUAUGCGAAAAUGGCGAAUGGAGGGUAGGAGAUUGCGAAGAUUACCUGCGAGGACGAAGCAGUGUUUCGUGCGAGAGAGAGUGAGAGCGGCGUGGAACAGAGAGAGGGAGAGGAGGGUAAAAUUGUUAUUUUACAUAUAAUAUGCAACUUUACCUCAGUAAUCCGAGAUACACACCCUACACAACCCCUUCGGUAGUAUUUUCCGGGUAUGUUUGGUUCAAAAUUAACUUGACAGAAUUACUGUUACAAUUACUGUGCGUAGUUUAUUUAGUAUGUAUUCUGAUCAGUAAUCUUGUAUUAUAAAUGGUAUAGGAUUAUACUGAAAAUGUUACUGAGCGGGGGUGGGUAUCUUAUAUUACAGUAUGUUAUUUUGCAUGUAUGUUAAAAUUACAAGUUUGUCCCUCCAAACUGCAACGCUUUCAAUACGUUAUUUUUAAAAUUUAAAUUUAAAUUUUUAAUUUUUAAUUUUUAAUUUUUAAUUUUUAAUGUUCAUAUUUUAAUUUCAACUUUUAAUUUUUAAAUAUUAAAUUUUUAAUUUUUAAUUUUUAAGUGUCAAGUUUCAAGUUCCAAAUUUUAUAUUUUAUAUUUUAUAUUUUAAACUUCAAAUAUAAAUUUUAAAUUUAAAUUUUAUAUUUUAUAUUUAUAUUUUAUAUUUCUAAUUUUAAAAUUUUUAUAAAUUUUAUAUUUAUAUUUUAAAUUAAAAUAUUAAAUUGUAUGUUUUUGUUUAGAUUUAAAAUUUAAAAUUUAAAAUUUAGAAUUAAAAAAUAAAAUAUAAAUUCAAAUAUUAAAUUAUUUAAAAUAAAAUUUAGUAAAAAUUAUUAUUUGUAAAUUGUAAAAAAUAAUUUGCCAAAUAUGACUAAAAAUAAUUUUGGAAUAGAUUACAUUUUAUUGUCAAAAUUACUUAAUUUUAUAAACUGAAUUAAACAUAGUAAUGCUAUUUACACUACAAUCCAACAUUAUAUUACUGUAUUAAACCAAACGCACUAAUACAGCAUCAGUAAUAAUCUCAUUCAAAAAUUCAAGAUACCUGGAUAUGUUGAAAUAACCUAUAAUGUUACAUAACGCGAACCAAACGCGCUAGUGUAAUCUUACGCCUUUUGUAAUGCUGAAAUAUCGAACAAAUUACAUACCAAAUAAACUAAAUACAGUAAUCCUGACAGAAUUGCCUAUAAUCCAGUGCUAAACGUUAAGUCAAGCACGCGUACGAAAAGCAUUACCUCAAAAAUGCCCCAAACUGCUAAUUUCAUUAGCAUAUCGAAGCUUCUAUUUCUAUCAAGUGCUAUACCAGUUAUUGUUGCUGCUGCCUUAGGAUUACUCUCAGUUGCAGCUUCUAUUAAUAUUACUUAGAAACUAAACGUACAGCAUGAUCGUGAAAGUGAUAGAAGCAAACCACUUUCCUAUGAUUCUACCCAUCUCUAAAUCGAUUAAACAGCAAUAACAUCAUUGGGAAACGAAAAAAAAAUUUUUUUUUUUGAGAGAUAGGUAGCACACUACCCGCUUCGUUUAUUUCAUUAAGAAAUAAACUUAGCUGGAAAUGUGAAUCAACUAGGAUUCGAACUUGGGACCUCGGGUACCAACCACCAAGUCCUUUGCCACUUGCUCUAGAGACGGUCGGUUGGGAAACGAAAAUUAGUGCAUCAUU
rnacentral:lncRNA from 1 species